CUCCGAUCGCCGGAUGGGCCAGGAUGGCCGCUUGCGGGGCCCAACCUAUCACCUUCCCAAUCGGAGCUGUCCGAUUAAGAAACCCUUCGGGCAAGACUGCGUUUAGAUCCGCAUAGUCGCUUGGCAUAGCUAUCUUGCCUUUAGGUGGGGGCCGGCGUAGGGACCACAAAAACCGCUGCCCGCUAUGCUCCAGCGCACAAGCUAUCUCUUUCACCUGGGCCUCACUGAAACUUCCCAUGCUCCCAAAACAUAGGAACACCACCGACAAAGAGGGCUGAUCAUCGAGCCACCUGAAGAUAUCCGAGCCCUUAUUUUCAUCACAUCUUUUGAGGUUCAAUAAGGGCCCCACUGGAUACACGGGUGGGAUUUUAUCAUCAAAAUCAAGAUAAUGAAGAGCAUGCAAAUCCAGCUCCAAGAAUGUAUUUACCAAAAUACCCUUGAUUUGUCUACACCUGCUGGUAUAGUUGAGGAUUGAUUCGGUGAUCUCUUUGUCCGCAAACGUACCGGGCAAGACUGCGGCAGGGCAAGGGUUGAUGAAACUCGGGACGGCCAACUCAGCGCUCGAGCGCGUAAACUCAGUUAUAUCUAUGCCGCCCUCGUCGCGAAGCAAUUGAAAAUGGAACAAAAGUGCGAGCAGCGAAGCGUUGGAGGUGAAGAACGCGUAGGAGGGAACCAUGAAUUCGUCAGCCACGUCAACUAGGGUUGCGCAUAAAAAGUCGAGCACGAAGCCGGCAAGCCGAGGCCUCGACAUCGACUCAGACUGAUCUGACUCAGAAAGUAAGUUGACAACGGCGUCUCUGAUGUGAGUUUUGUGAUUUUCGACGAGGAUUCUGAUCAAGGACCCGUGUUUGGGGAUGGCUUCUUGUUUGUCCGGUUGGGCUUCGGGGAGGUUAACGAAGUUGAUGCGGUGAGAGAUUGAAGAGUCAGCGAUGGUGAAUGGUUGGUCGUAGGGAAGCUUCAUGACGAGGACUGUGAUAAACAGUUGGUCGUCCCGAGCAACGAGUUGCUCUGCAAUCUCGAUCGCUGAUACGAUGUGGCCGAUAACCGGGCCGGGAACGACAACUAGUUGUGCUGGUCUCUUCAUCUUUUCGGAAAUGGCAAUGAAAAGCUCAGCUGUUUUAUUUAGAAAAAAUGUUUCAUAUUAUAGUAGAGUGGUGUGAUGUCAUGCCUUCGCUCACAGUUUCUGAAUUACUGGACAAGUCAAGAUCUUAAUUAGUUUAAUAUUGGAAUGACGGAAAUCAAGCCAGAGGAUAAAACAAAAGGUUAUCAGAUUUGAUUUUGGUCGCACUACUAGUCGUAGGCCAGUGCAACUGUUUUGCCAUUAUUACAAGUCGGUCAAAGAGUAGGAAUUGAAAAGAUAUAUUAUGGAUUAGCACAACCAAUAAAGUUUCACUAUGAUAUUCACAAACAUCAUUUUACUUUUUUCAUAUUCUUUAAUUUUUUGUAAUCGGAUUGGAUGAAUUGAAAAAGAUCAAAUGAUAGAAAUUAACAAGAGAUGUAGGAGAAGUAAAAAAUGAUGUGUGGAUAACACACCCCUCACUUUUUUACUUGGUCUAUGUUUUAUAUUGUCUUCAGUAGAAAGUUUUGUUGAGAGUUAUAUAUUAGUUAAAGUGUAAAUAGUAGUUCAUUGUUUCACAUUGGUGAAGUACAUAUGUAAUACCAAUUGUAACUCCUAUAUAUACUCCACUUUGGAGAUUAAUGAAUGUAUAAGAAAUUCCCAAAUAUUGUCAUAUAUAUUUUUGGUAUUUACCAUGUUUAGUUUAAUAUUAGUAUUUACCAUGUUUAGUUCAAUAUGGCAUCAAAGCAGUUCGCUCUUGGUGACCUAUGUGCUUUAAUUUUGUGCCCACAUUUUUCGUAAUUUCCUUCGUAAAAAAAAUUUUAAAAAAAAAAAAACAAAGUGAAUAGUGGCGCUACAGUACAGUGCGUGAACAGUUGUCUGCUUUGUGAACAGUGGUCCUCUACAGUGCCGUAAAACAGUGAUUACUACAGUCGUGAAUAGUGCUCUGCUACAGUGUCAUAAACAGUGCUCUGCUAUAGUAUCUGGUAAAUUGUUUUCAUUCCGCUGCAUAUCUUUUGUGCCUUUAUUGUUCGCGAUUUUUGUUCAAUAGCUCAAUAUAAUCAUAGUGUUAUUAUGCAUCUUGGUGGAACAAAUAAAUGGAUAAUAGAUACUGGGGACACUGAUCAUGUGCCUAGUGACCCUAGAGUGUUUGAUGAGUUAUGUGAUUAUGUUCGUGAUUCGUAUGUUACUAGUGCAAAUGGAGCACAUUUCCUUGUGAAGGGUGAAGGCACUAUCUUUCUAACUCCUACCUUAUCAUUGGUCCGUGCUUUACUUGUUCUUGAUCUUAAGUGCAAUCUUUUGUCGGUAGGAAAACUUCUUGAUACCUUAUAUUGUUCUGCUCACUUCUACCCUACGUAUUGCUAUUUUCAAGAUAUUCAAACUCAGAAGAUAAUUGAUCAUGGUAAAAGAAUAGGGGGUUUGUACAUCUUGACUAUGGAGGAUACUGUUGUUUCUGGUUUAAAUAAUCAUCAAGUUUUAAGUGCUAAAGUGGAUGACAGACAUCAAAUUUGGUUGUGGCAUCGACAAUUGGGACAUCCAUCAUUCAGUUAUAUGAAACAUCUAUUUCCUUCUUUGUUUCGCACUUGUAGUGAUUCAGAGUUCAAGUGUGAAACAUGUGUUAUGGCUAAGAGUCAUCGUGCUUCAUUUCCUGUAAGUGAUUCUAAAGCUACUUUGCCAUUUGAUUUGAUACAUUCUGAUGUAUGGGGUCCAGCGAAAGUUACUUCUAAUGGAUUCCGUUAGUUUGUUACUUUUAUUGAUGAUUGUACUAAGUUAACUUGGGUGUUCUUGAUGAAGAAUAAGAGUGAUGUUCCGUUACUUCUUCAAGAAUUUUGUACAAUGGUGUCUACUCAGUUUCAGACCAAAGUUAAGGUCUUCAGGUCUGAUAACGGGGGAGAAUAUGUGAAUCACACUUUGGCAUGUUUUUUUCGUGAUCAUGAUAUUAUUCACCAGGCGACUACUCCGUUUACACCCCAACAAAAUGGUGUGUCUGAAUGAAAGAAUAGUCAAAUAAUGGAAGUUGCUCGCUCAUUGAUGUUGGAUAAAUGUGUUCCUAAUCAUUUGUGGGAUCAUGCUGUUUUGGCUGCUGUGUAUUUGAUCAAUCGUGUUCCAAGUAGGGUUCUUGAUUUUCAGACACGGUUUGAUGUGCUACAACAACAUGUUUCUCUUGUUUCUGUAUCAAAUAUUCAUCCGAAAGUGUUUGGGUGUAUUGCGUAUGCGCAUGUCUACUCUCAUCAGCGGAGUAAACUUGAUGCACGUGCUCUCAUGUGUGUAUUUAUUGGGUAUGCUAACAAUCAGAAAGGCUAUAAGUGUUAUCAUCAUCCGACUUAAAAAACUUAUAUUACUAUGGAUGUCACCUUCCAUGAGGAAGUUUCGUAUUUUAUGAAGCCCUCUUUCGACUCUCCACUUCAGGAGGAGAUGGGGAGUGAAGUGCAGAUUCGAAAAGAUGAUAUGGAUGAUGUGUUACAGGCAGAGUUGGGAACAUAACCUAUUAUGUUGCGUGAUACUAAUCAGUCGACUACAAAUAGUGAUCGGUCACCUAUUAUUCCCUGAACUAUUUCUACUGACGAUAUAUCAGAUGUGCCCAGCGAGUUGCCUGUUAGUAUGUCUGACGAAUUACCUUCUAAUGAUCGGUUGCCUGCUGCUGAUAUGUCUAACAAGUUGCCUGAUAAUGGUUCGUCCAAUGAUGAUUCUUCUAACAGUUUGGUACAAGAUGGUGGCAUACAUGAGGUAAAUUCUGACGAUUCUUCUACUUAUCAGUUGCCUCCACGAGCUAAUCGUGGAAAACCUAAAGUACAAUAUGAGCCUGAUAUGCAUGCCAAAGCCAAAUAUCCUAUCAACAAUUAUGUGUCUACUCAUCGUUUAUCCAAACCAUAUGCAUCUUACAUAUGUCAGCUAUCUAGUGUAUCAAUUCCAACAAAAUUGCAAGAUGCCUUGUCUGACCCUAAGUGGGUUAAUGCCAUGCAAGUUGAGAUGAAAGCUUUGGAAAAGAAUUCUACCUGUGAUUUGGUUCCUUUACCAAACGGAAAAAAAAAGCCGUUGGAUGUAGAUGGGUGUUUACUAUUAAGCACAAAGCAGAUGGUUUUAUUGACCGGUAUAAAGCUAGAUUAGUUGCUAAGGGUUAUACUCAAACCUAUGGGGUGGACUAUCAGGAGACAUUUGCUCAUGUUGCCAAACUUAAUAUUGUGCAUGUUCUUCUGUCCUUAGCAGCAAACCAGGAUUGGCCUCUGUUGCAACUUGAUGUUAAGAAUGUUUUCCUUCAUGGUGAUCUUAAGGAGGAAGUGUAUAUGGAUCUCCCACCUGGUAUUGGAACAUCUCCUGGAAAAGGUGUUGUAUGUAGGUUACGAAAGGCUUUGUAUGGUUUGAAACAAUCUCCUAGAGCGUAGUUUGGGAGGUUUACAAGUUCAAUGAAGAAGUUUGGGUAUAUCCAGAGUCAUUCAGAUCAUACUUUGUUUCUAAAGCGACAAAAUAGUAAGCUAACUGCAUUGAUUAUUUAUGUUGAUGACAUGAUAGUGACUGGUGAUGAUCAGAAUGAGAUACAACGUCUUCAAAAGUACCUAGCUAUUGAGUUUGAGAUGAAAGAAUUGGAUGAAUUGAAGUAUUUUCUUGGAAUCGAGGUUGCACGAUCCAAGCAUGGUAUUUUUCUGUCUCAACGGAAAUAUGUUCUUGAUUUGUUAGCUGAAACAGGUAUGUUAGAUUGCAAACCUGUUGAUACUCCGAUUGAGCAGAAUCAUCGUCUGGGCUUAUUUCCAGAUCAAGUUCCUACUCAUAAGGAACGGUAUCAGAGGCUUGUGGGGAGAUUAAUUUAUUUGUCUCAAACUCGCCCUGACAUUGCUUAUGCAGUUAGUGUGGUAAGUCAGUUUAUGCACUCACCUAGUGAAGCUCAUAUGGAUGCAGUAACCCGUAUUUUGAGGUACUUAAAGAUGGCUCCUAGCAUAGGCCUGUUUUUCUCCAAGAAUGGUCAUUUAAAUGUCGAAGGGUAUACAGAUGCAGAAUGGGCAAGUACUAUCACUGAUCGGCGAUCUACAUCCUGAUACUUUACGUUUGUGGGUGGUAAUUUAGUUACUUGGAGAAGCAAGAAACAAAAAGUGGUGGCUAGGUCAAGUGCAGAAGCUGAGUUUCGUGGUAUGUCGCAUAGUGUAUGUGAGUUGUUGUGGUUAAAAAAAUUGUUGAGAGAUCUUGGGUUUAACCCCAAAGGUGCUUUGAAACUUCAUUGUGAUAACAAGGCUGCUAUUGAGAUUGCUCAUAAUCCAGUGCAACAUGAUCGAACAAAACAUGUGGAGAUUGAUCGACAUUUCAUUAAGGAAAAAUUGGAUGCUGAAAUUAUUAUGUUUCCGUUUGUGAGAUCUGAAGAUCAACUUGCUGAUGCUCUUACUAAGGCUGUGUCUAAUAGUGUGUUUUCCAACUCGCUUGACAAGUUGGGCAUGCGUGACAUCUUUGCACCAACUUGAGGGGGAGUGUUGCGAGUUAUAAUUAGUUAGAGUGUAAAUAGUAGUUUAUUGUCCCACAUUGGUGAAGUACAUAUGUAAUAUCAAUUGUAACUCCUAUAUAUACUCCACUUUGGAGAUUAAUGAAUAUAUAAGAAAUUCCCAAAUAUUGUCAUAUAUAUUUUUGGUAUUUACCAUGUUUAAUUUAAUAUUAGUAUUUAUCAUGUUUAGUUCAAUAAGUUGAAGAACUGAAAAUCGACAUGAUGCACACUAAGUCAAGAUUUCAGUUACUAAGCACAUCAAUGUUGUGCUAGUUUAAAUCGAUACAGAAUCCGACGUGUAUUGUUCAUUUGAAGAUAUUCGAUAAUAUUUGAACGAUAAGAGGGGAAGAGGAGGAGAAUUUCACAAGUCCAAACUUCUGUACCCAAAACUAUACGUAGCGUCUUUGUGCUCUAUCUAUUUGAGUGACAAGUGUUUUUUUACUUAAAUUCAUCCAACACCAUUUAAAAAACAAAAACAAAAAACUAAAUAGUAAAGAAGAAUAAACACAAGAUCCCCCUAAUCCCACCCACCCCAACGCUACCUUGCCAGCAGACUCCCUCUCCUCCUCACCUGUCAUUGUCGGCGAGCAUGUCUGAUAAGUUUCCCAAACCUUUAUGAUGACAUUGAUGACGCUUCUUACAUAGAACCCAGAACUAUUUCCGCCCCAAUUGCAAAAACGCACAACCCAAAAUUAGAAAAAUUGACAUAGUAUUGAAUUUUGAGAGGAUUUUUAAUGAAUAAACCAUGCCCUCUCUCUUUCUUGUCUCUCUCUAACCCACAACUAUUUCCACUUGUUAAUGUUCAAAAUUGUAAGGUUAACAAAUUUAAAUAAAUGAUAUUAGAUGGACUGAUGAGAUGGGUUGAGAUUAAAUGGACUCAAUGAAGUAAGUGGUUUAUCCCUAAAAAAAAUGGGCUACAUCUACUGUGUUGCUCUCAAUAUGAUGAUUUCAAUGCCAUAUAGUGCACAAUUAAUACAUUCAUUCUAUUAUCUCUUAUUUGUCUAACCCCCAUUAUAGAGGUAUUCACCCCUUUAUAUAAGCCUUGUCCCUUUGAGGCCUCUCAAACAGACAUUUAAAGUACCAACCACUUAUACUAGCAUACUAACAGUUUUUCACAUAAUCGAACUGGCCUUUGUCGACGAAAUGAUGUAUUGGCAAUCGGAUAACACACCUUUUAAAGACUAAAUGGCCCACGCUUCUCGCUCGAACCUCGGUUGCUCUGGCUUGCCUUUGUGUCCCAUCGUAGACCUCUGAUGUUUUCUACACUUUGUUGAAAAGUCCAAGUAGCACUUAAUUAAGUAAUCUUAUUCUUGGAGACUUGUGCUAUAAGAUGUCAGCAUGCCCAUGUGUUCUUCUCAGUCAGCAGCCUCUCUCUCGUCUUGGUCAGACUAAGCAUGCGGGCUAGUUCUCUGAGGAUUCCUUGGGCCUCGGGUUUCCUAGCAUUUCCUUGUGCCUAUGUGUUGCCCCUAAAAACUACCAAGCCUACGUGGUACACAUGCCAAGUAAUUAAAAAGCUAACUACGUCAUUCGGUUGUGUAAGGUGUGCCAACUCAACGGUCGACCUUGGUCGGUGAGUAAAAUAAGUUGAUGUUGCAUUAGGCGCACUGCUGACUUCUGAUUCUCGCGACUGCGGCCGAGAAAGGAACACGUCUCGGCCUUCAGGUUCUAGAGCCUGAAGACAAGGCUACUAAUUCUGCGAAGUUCAAUAUCAAAUUCAACUCUCAGGGUGUCGAAUGUAGUAACCUGGUAACACCUCACUUUACAAAAAAGGCUGAUGAGAUGACCUCUGCCAAUAAGGACUCGAAAAUUCUUUUUGACCAAGAUUUGAAUAGGUAACCAGUUGGUCUCGGAGCAGUGCUAUUUAUCCAAACUGAAGAUGUUCACAGGUUGCCUUCACAAUGAUGUUUAUCCAAACUGAAUAUGUGUUGACGAAAAAGGAAAAUAAAAAUCUCAAGGUUGUUGAGAGGUUUCGCAUAGAGCAAAAGUUUGUGCAGGGCAGUUUAUGUGUUGAAUUGGAGAGGCCUUUUUAGUCGUCUGCCGCUCGGUAUUAAUAGAAUCAAAACUCUUAGACGUGUUGUAGAAUCCAACCAGUGAACAUCCAACUAUCUUUGAUGAUAAAUCACAACCAUCCUUUAUCCCAAUCUCAAUUGCCGCAACAUCAAGUAAAAUCACAACUGGACAAAAUGGCAUAUGCCAUCUUUUAUCCCAUAUUUCCACGUGCAUGGGUUCAUAAAAUCAAUAGCACCUUUAUUGGCUAAUUAUCUAAGCAAGUUACCCCGUGCUGGAUAAGUAACCCAAUCUCCUCCACCUCAUUAACCAACCAACGAUGGUCAUCAGAUCAUCUUUAUCUAAACCAACUAACUUUGAUCAAAUUCCAAUGAUAAUACGAUCCCAUAUUUAUCUCCAUUGUAUUUGUAUAAAUGCAUGGAAGAUAGUCUGCCAUACUCUAACUCCAUUCAUGAUAGUCAUGCUAUCUAUCCAUGAGAUUGCAGCAGUAUUAAUUCACACGAUAUCGUAUCAAAUCACCACGACUUUAUCACCUAGUUGUGCUCUAGAUAAUUCAAUAUAUUAUUACGAGAUAAUUAUUAUGAUAAAAUUCACAAAAUUAUUCCUUAACAAUAACUAAAAUUAUUCUGACUCGGUCACCUAAUGGCUUAGAACUUCGUUCACUCAAUAGCCUCGAUCGUUCAGGCCGAUUGUGUAAUUUUGGGUCCAAACACUAUGUCCAUGGGUGGGCCCAAAAUUCCCCUAACUCCUUCGUCAAGGGGUUACUUGUUCACAAAUACGUACCCUCUAGCAAAUCUAAUUUUCAACCAAAAUAAUAUGACACACCCCAAACCCGAUAUCCCCACAUACUAGGGUAAGCAUGUGUUGGCCGACACCUGAGGGUGACGAAGCCAUUUUUAACAUGCAUACCAAUAAAAUAUGAAAUUAAAACAAAUUAAACCAAAGCAGAAUCGUGUUCAAAGCAUACAACUACUUAAGAAUAAUGUGAAAGAAUUAUAAUAGAAGGUACGAAUAAAGGAAUGAGUCAUACACUGAGAAAACUCGAAGAUGCCUAAGCGAAAGUGCCUGAUGCCGGGAUCAUGUGCCUCGAUCCUAACUCCUGAAGGGCGCAAAAACAGAAAAGAUGAGUGGACCAUAAUUUAUAUUAAUACUAAUAGUAAGAAAAUUGUUUUAUUUAUGAACGUAAUAACCUCCUGUUUUGAAAACACAUAUAUAAUACUACAUAUAUAUUUUAUGGAAAAACCCUAGCAUGCCAUGUAGAACAUUCGUAAAACAUGUAUGUAAAACCAGUGCUAAAAAAUGGUAAUCACGCCCGAAGGCAAUUCUGUAAAUCAUCUGUAAAUCUCGUCAGUGAAGUACUCAACUAGGGGUAUCAUAGUCACCCCAAGGCAGUACAUGUCCAUCACCCGAAGGUGAAGCUGAAUAACAUGUCCAUCACCCGAAAGUGAAGCUAUAUAACCUGUCCAUCAUGACACGCCCCGACCCUGAUAUUCCCCGAAUACCAGAAUAGACACGUGCUGGCCGACACCCGAGGGUGACGAAAGCCAUUAAUUGAUACAAAAGCUAAGAAUAAGAAAUAAAUAAGGGUUAUGAAUUUAAAAUACCAAGAAUUUAUAAUUUAGGAACGUGCUCAGAGCAUACAAUUAAACCUAAUCACUAAAAGGAAUUAAGAUAAAAUUUAAUGAAUAAAGGAGUGAGUCCUACAUUCGAGAGGAUCCGAAUAUGCUGCUGCAGAAGUGUUUUGACGCCGGGAUUAGGUGCCUUGAUUCUAAGUCCUGAAUGGGGGCGCAAAACAAAGGUGAGUGGACCAAGUUUAUAUAUAUAUAUAAUAAUAAUAAAACAAUUAUCAAGAUACUAACCCCCAAAGUUUAUAUAAAUGAAAACUACUAGCAUAAUAAGUGAUGAAUUUAAUAAAAAUCCUAGCAUGCCAAAGUAUCUCAAAAAGCCAUAUCGCGGAAAAUCAAAACAGUAAACGUCUCGUAAAUCGUCUCGUAAACGCGGUGUGCUGCUAGAAAGAUCACUGAAUAAAUAUAACUCCCGGCCCAAUGCCUGCACCUCAGUCUCUGUGCCCGUAGCCAGAGAUAACUCCCUCCCGGCCCAAUGCCUGUCUCCGUGUCCCUCAGCCUUUCGCUAGGGAUUAUUUCUCCCGGCCUACAUGCCAACACCAGAUCCUCUCCCCAGGCGGCAUAGUGUCCACUAGGUACGCACAAAUAGUUACGUCUCUCUUAAAUAACCACUUCAUAGCAUAGGUUACCGAAUAUCGUCUACGCUAUAAAGAGGGGUUCAAAAACAUGUUCUAGCAUCCUAUCGUCAUCUGUCAGAUAGUCUACCAGUUCAUGAUUUUUAUAGAAAAUACGAUAUAUAAAAAUAUAGCUCAAAAUAGGCUAACAAUUAAUUCCUCACCAAAACACGAGACGAUAAUCAAUAUAUUAAAACAACAGGCUCCACAUAAAUCAGAUCAUAAAUUCGUAGGCAUGCUAAUCAAUUAUGCAAUUAAACUAUGAAAUCAUGUAAUUUUAGAAGGGGUCCACUCACAAAUAUUCCUUAGCAGAAGAGUCGCGCGAAUAAGGAUUUAGAAUUUCUCCACUAGCAAUUUUACCUAAGAACAAGAAUGUAUAAUUAAUAAAAUGAUUUUUCUAAAAGAUUGGUUUUGAAUUAAUUUAAAUAAGGGAUUUGGGAUUGGAUGGGUUUAGGGUUUUUAAUGGGUUUUGGGAACCUAGGGCUCUAGAAUUAAAAGGGGAUGGAAAGGGGUUUGGGCAUUAAGCCCAAACAUAUAAACUUAGCCACACACGCACACGGGCACAAGGCCCUCAGGCCUCACUACAGAAAACAGGGCUUUAAGCCCUUGAUUAAAAACCGGCCCAAGGCCAAAACAAAAGCUAGGGCCCGAGCCCUUUGGGCUUUAAAAAAUUUAAAUAAUUAAAAAUAAAAAUGGAAUGGGUUAGGGUACUGGGCUAAGGCAAAACGGGCUGGAGGCCCAUGGGAAAGGAAAUGGGAAAGGCCGGUUGGCCUGUGGCUUGCCGAGAGAGAAGGCCGGAGCUGCUACAGCUCCGGUCACCUGAAAACUGGAGCUUCAAGCUCCGAUCUAGGUACGAACGUGAAGCACAAGGAGAGAGGAAGAGAUUUAUACCUUCCAAAUGUCGUAACUCGGUCGGAGGUGACCGGGAAAGUCCUCGGGGUGCACGGGUUCACCGGAAAAGUGGGUGUGCUCACCCACGACCGUUCCGAAGCAAAAACCUACGUAAAAAGGUAAGGUUCAAGCUUCUAAAUCACAACCAAACCAAGAACUAGGUACGAGAGUAAGAGAUUUGAGACCUACCCGACGGAAAAAUGGGGAAAACUCGCCGGAGCUUUGCUCCGUGCCGUUGAGCCGCAGUGCAGGGAUCCCUGGUUCGUUGCGAGCCUCUCUUCGAUGGUGACUCGGUCCUAGUGAGUCCAGGGGAAGAGAGAGAUGCGAGAGGUUGAGGGAGAGAGGUACGGGAUAGCUGAGAGGGAGAGAGCUAAGGGAGAGUUACGGGGGAGAGAGACGAAGAAGGAAGAGAGAGACCGGGGGAAAACAAAAAAAUUAUAAGGUGGGCCCUACGGGCUCACCAAUUAAGACCUUAAAACAAUUUUUAAAUAAAAUGGGGUUGGGGUGUUUCACAUCACCCGAAGGUAAAGCUAUAUAAAAUAGCAUACAUCCACACUGACACUAGCCGUGGCUAGUGAAGUUAUCCAACACUGUUUAUGGCAGUGAAAAUGGAGGUAUAUAAUAUAUCAUAUCUCACUCCUCCAUUAUCUGUGUCCUAUGGCCAAAGACAUAUAUACACGUGGUGUGCAAAUGUACCGUAUGAUAACCCACUAGGUUAGUACCAAAAACAUAUCUUAAAAUCUCAUAUCAAAACCAGAGCUCAUCAAAACUCAAAGCGUCAUCUCAUGAAUCCAUAAUAUAAAUCAUGAUCAAAAGCCACAUAAUUUGUAUAUGUAAAUCCAUAAUUCAUCACCUUUAGUGAAAUGUAGGUUUGAUAAAUAAUAACCUUCGUAAAAAUAAUUCAAAUAAUUCAAAUAAUUCUUAAUUUCUCUUAAACCAUAAAUAUAGAAAUCUAUAAAGGCAUAAUAUAAAUCCAUAAUAUAAAUCACAUUCAAAUCGUGAAAUAGAUCGUGCAUGCUAGGCUAAUAUUUAUAAAACAUAUAGUUUAAGAAGGGGUCCACUCACAAAUUUUAUUGCCUGAGAACCGCUCGAACUAGUGAGGAUGACGUCGUUUCCUGCCAACGCGCAUAAACACAAUUAGGGACCUUUUAGUAAAACUAUACCUAAACGAUAGAAUUUGGGAAUGGACGGUGGAUUUGGAUUCAGCACGUCGGAAAACCUAAGGAGGGACCUCUGGUUUUUCCCCCACGUGCUGCCGCACGUGGCAGCCGGCCACCCCGACUCGUCGGAAAAUCGAACAACUCCAAAAAUUUUCAAAUUUUACAAGAAUGAAGAUCUCAAUGAGAAGAAUAACUUUUGUACCUGGGCCGAGUCCAAUUCGGCCAAGAAACACCCCCAAUCACCCUCGAAUCGUCGGAAACCCUAAAAUAGGUGAACCCCGAUUCGUCGAAUUCGUAGCUCCACCGCCCCCAAACUUGUUUGGGCUUUGAUCCAGACCUCGAAGGGAGUUGAACAAGGGUAGUGGUCGAUGGCGGUGCUUGCAAAAACGAUAGAUUUUUGCCGAUCUUCCCAUGGUGCCGCCGGUGGUACCCUCACGAAACCAAGGUUAAAAAUUAGAUUUAGGGUGGAACUUGAAGAAGAAGGUCGUGGAGUUGGUUCUAGGUGGUUAAGUGAAGUGAUUUGCUGAAAAAACAAACGAAAAACCGUCGGAUUCCAUAGUUACCGUUCGGGUCGAGUUGAAAAAUGAGAAACGGGUCGUGGAUCCUGUGGUUCUCAUCUCCCUCAUUUCCCCUUCCUUCUUUCUUCUCCCAUUGGUCAUCAUCCAUCCCCUCUACCCUGGAUUGGUCCUCAUCCCCUUCUUUCACUCAUAUUUCUUUCCAUCUCAACCGUAUUUCUCCCUCAUUUCUCUUCUUUCUUUUCCAUCACAGCCACACAUGUGGCAUCAGAUUGGUGUUCCAACAAAAUUUGGAGCCUUCCAAAUAUAUCGUCAAAUGACCAUUUUGCCCUCAACUUUGUUCGUUCAUAACUUAUUCGUUAUAACUCCAAAAUACGUUCGUGUUCGUAGCGACAAAUACUACGAGUAUACACCAAGAAAAUGGAUCUUACGUGACAUGAUAAGGCGGUCAACAAAAGUUAACGUAUUAGCCUCGAAUGGCAUUUUCGUAAAUUUCGUAAAUUUUCAUAAAUUUACAUUUUAAAAUGAAGGUUUCCACUUUCCAAGAGGUCAAAGGCAGUAAUAGGACCGGACUCCACCUUGGAUUAUGUGAGAAACAUGGGGUGGUGGGUUACAUAGAGUAAUUAAUUGGUUUUCAACCACCCACCGCUGAGUUGUCUAUUUUUUAUUUACUUAUCUACUUAAAAUAAUGUUUUAUGAGGAUAUAUAAAUAAUGUUUUGUUGUCUUCUAUUUUAAAUUACCAUAUUAUCUACUUAAAAUACUCACAUAUAUAUGUAUGUUCUUCUUUUAAAAAAAAACAUAAUACUCAAUAAUUAUAUAUUAAAUUUAAUUAACCUACUUUAAAAGAAUGAUAAAUUACCAUAUUAUCUACUUAUCCCCUUAAUUAACCUUAAUAAUUAUAUAUUAAAUUUAAUUAUCCUAUCUACAUUACUAUAUUUCCUUAUUUUCCUCCUAUUUUGCAUUUUAUAUGGUUUUAAAUUGUCAACUUAUUGUACAUGUGUCAUCCGACAAUACUCCUCACUAUGGUUAUAUGACAGACAUGCUUAAUUUGUUUAUAAAAUUUGGACUUGUUGGAUACUCUUUUUGCAUUUUAUCAUUCUUUUAUUAUCUUAUCCAUGGAUUUCAUACAAGUAUAAUUUUUUGUAAGUAUCAAUAUGCACUUAUUUACAAGAUAUACAAGAAAUUUACUUAAAUCCUCCUAGGCCGCCUAGGCGCUAGGCGCCAACCCGCCGUUCGACUAGCGCCUAAUGUUUUUUAGAACCUUGGUAAAAGAGUAACAGAGACCAAAAAAAACCACACAUAAAAUGAAUGCAGAGGAUUUAAUCACAUACGUAGACAAAGAGUGGGGCUAGCUGUGACUAUUUGUUUUGGUAGUGUAUAGUGUGUAUAGCAGCUGAUGAAAUAGACAGCUCAUAUUAGUGAACUUAAGUCCCUCAUGAUUCCUUGAAUAUCACGCAACUGCGAACACAAGACUUAUCUGCAUUUAUUGAGGUCAGAAAUGGGGAAGUGUAUAUAUAUUCUCCCGCAUAGGAUCGAUGGAUUACAAGUUUACAAAAAACACCAUGUAGAGCACAAGAAUGUAAAUUUAUCUGCCCAAAAUAAAUUGAUCGAGUGUUAAAACACGUCUAUUAAGUUAUUAGUUGGCAAUGCUCACAGUUUGUAAUGAAGAGUUGGUCAUCUGGAGCUUCCAUUAUCAGUUAAAAAAAACUCUAUGUUGAAAAUGAUGAUCCAAAUUAAUUUUUAGGCAUGCAUUAGGCACACAUGCCAGCUGAAUUGAUCAGUACAGGGCCAUUUUCUGAAAAUCUCGACAUCAAGGUUACUUGUUCACACAUACGUAAGGAAGUAAGAUUUUUAGAGAAGAAAAAAUGUUACCACAAGAUUUUGAGAUUUGAUAUGUUGAACUAUGUAUUACAACGAAAAACUUAUAAUACAAACGUUGCAAAUUACAUAACGUAAAAAUAAGCGAGGAGAAUAUAAAAGCCCCCCCCCCAACCCAAUUAAAUUUUAUCAAUAAAACGCCCUAAUGAAGAGUAAGAAGAACCACCAUCCACCAAGGCUUUCUUGCUCUUUUCACUCAUCUCCUUCACUCUUUUCCUUACAUCACUGUCAAGCUCCAUCACUCGCCUUAUCCCUCUUUCUAUGUCUUCUGCGCUCACCACCACGUCGCUGUCCCUCCGAUAAUCCAUCUUAAUCUCCACUGCCAAUCCCAACUCCACCACCAAUUGAAAGGCAUUCAGGUUUUGCUCCGCGUACAAUGGCCAUGCGGCAAUCGGCACGCCAUUCCAUAAACUUUCCAACGUAGAAUUCCACCCGCAAUGUGAUACAAACCCUCCGGUUGCCGGAUGGCCUAGGAUGGCCGCUUGCGGGGCCCAACCAAUCACCUUCCCAACCGUAGCCGUCCGAUCAAGAAACCCUUCGGGCAAGACUGUCUUUAGAUCCUCGUAGUCGCUUGGCAUAGCUCUCUUGCCUUGAGGUGGGGGCCGGCGAAGGGACCACAAAAACCGAUGUCCGCUGUGCUCUAGCGCGCACGCUAUCUCUUUCACCUGGGCCUCACCGAAACUUCCCAUGCUUCCAAAACACAGGAACACGACCGAGAAAGGAGGCUGAUCAUCAAGCCACCUCAAGAUAUCCGAGGCCUUAUCUUCAUCACUACUUUUGAGGUUCAAUAAGGGUCCCACUGGAUACACGGGUGGGAUUUUAUCACCAGAAUCAAGAUAAUGAAGAGCAUGCGAUUCUAGCUCCAUGAAUGUAUUUACCAAAAUGCCCUUGGUUUGUUUAUACUUGCUGACGUGGUUGAGGGUUGAUUUGGUGCUCUCCAUGUCCAGAAGCGAACCAGGCAAGACUGCGGCAGGGUAAGGGUUGAUGAAACUCGGGACGGCCAACUCAGCGGUUGAGCUCGUCAACUCAGUUAUAUCUAUGCCCCCCCUCGUCACGAAGCGAUUGAAAAUGGGACAUAAGUGCAAGAGCCGAAGCGUUGGAGGUGAAGAACAGGUAGGAGGGAACCUUAAAUUCGUUGGCCACGUCAAUUAGGCUUGCGGAAAACAUGUCGAGCACGAACCCGGCAAGCCGAGGCUUCGACGUCGACUCAGACUGAUCUGACUCGGGGAGUACGUUGAUAACGGCGUCUCUGACGUGAGAUUUGUGAUUUUCGACGAACAUUCUGAAGAAGGACCCGGGAUUGGGGACAAUGUCUUGUUUGUCCGGUUGGGCUUCGGGGAGGUUGACGAAGUUGAUGCGGUGAGAGAUUGAAGAAUCAGUGUUGGUGAAUGGUUGGGCGUAGGGAAGCUUCAUGACGAGGACUGUGAUAAACAGUUGGUCGUCCCGAGCAGCGAGUUGCUUUGCCAUCUCGACCGUUGAUACGAUGUGGCCGAUGCCUGGGGCGGGAACGAACACUAGUUGUGCUGGUCUCUUCAUCUUUUGAGAAAUGGCAAUGAAAAUCUGAGCUGUUUUAUUUAGAAAAACUCUUUCAUUUUUAUACGGUGAUACGGUGUGAUGUCAUGCCUUCGCUCAUAGUUUCUGAAUUUCAAGUCAAGAUCUUAAUUACUUUCAGUACUGGAAGGACUUGGGCAUCAAGCUUGUCUGCUUGAGGAUAAAACUAAAGGUUAUCAAAUUUGAUUUGUCAACUACUGGUGUAACAUGUGUGACACGAUUGUUUCGGAAAUAUAAAACAAAAGGAUAUUUUAAAAUACAUUUAACCAACUGCUGAAAUCAAAUAGAAUCAAAUUUAAUGGUAAAAAAAAAAUCUCACGGUCCAAAUUUAAAUUUAACAGCUAAAAUAAUUUAAAAAAUAGGCAUUUUGAUUCAAGUCCAAAAUAUUCAGCUAUUUUCAAAUCUAGUCCAGUUUUAUUUAAUUUGUUAUUAUACCUGUUUUGCCCCUUAGAGUAAAAAUAAAAAUAGAUUUAAAUUUCUUAAAUUUUAAAUUUUAAAUGCCUUUAUCUACCCACUUUCUAAUUGAAACAUUUUAAAAAUUCAUAUACAACAAAUAUGAUAAGUUUAUUAAAAAUUAAAAAUUUGGAGAGGUAAGAAACCUGUGAAAUCAAUAUAAUUAAUCUAUAAUAUAGGUAUAUUAUAAAGAAGAAAAACAUGUGAGGUAGAUUAUGAACAAAAACCUAUGAUAUAGGUCUACAAAAGUAUUGUCUACCUCAAUAUAUACCUAUUAUAUAGGAAGACAUAUACUUUAUACCUAGAAAGCAGAUAUACUCUACAAACUAUGAGCAAAAACCUAUGGUAAAAGUUGAUAAACAUUUAAUUUGAGAUAAGUUAUAAAAAAUAUAAAAAAACAUGUGAUAUAUAUUGUGAAAUCCCGUUUCUGGAUAUCAUUGUUAUAAUCCACAUAUUCGUAUUAUUGAGACUUUAUAUUAUUUUACAAGAAAUUAUAUUAAUUUAUUUGAAUUUAGAUUUUAAAUUAAACUAGUUACGAAGUUGAAGUUUGGAAAUUAAUUAUCUAAAAUUCGUAGACCUUUCUAGGUCACAAUUUAUAUUUUUGGAUAGAUCUCGAAACCACGAACGCAUAGGCGAAAGCCGUUUGCGAGUCCGGAUUAUAAUGGUAAAGUUGCGGACAUCUAAAGUUGUGUUUCUAGACUAUAGAUUUUAAUUUUCUUUAAAACUCCCCGUGGAAAUGGUGACCAAGGAAAAAAAGGGAGGACCAACCCAAUUCAUGGGGGAGUUUAAGGGAAUCAAUCAGGAAAAAGAAAAGAAAAAAAAAAAGAGGGGAGUUGCGGGAGAGACGGGAAAAAAAAAAGGGGGGAGAGACCAACUGGAGGAGGGGAGAGGAAAGGGAAGAAAAUGAGUGACCAAUGGGGGAAGCAGAAGGAGGGAAAGGAAAGAGGGGAGGAAACACACAACCCGGACCCCCUUCCCCUUGACCCGACUUUCCUCGACCUGACCCGCACUACAACAAAUUCAGACGGGUUUCCCGUCCAUUUUUCCGGCGAUUGACAACCUUCCACCCCUACCAAACAACUCCCCAGCCCUCCCUCUUCCAUUUCCACCCGAAAUUAGAAGGAAUUUGGUUUUGUUUUGGUGGAAAACAACGCGACGAGAUUUAUGGGUGUUGGCGGCAAUUCCACCGUUUUUGUAGAUAUCGCCGAUGACCACCACCCUUGUCCAACUCCUCUUGAGGCCUGGAUAAAAGCCCAAACCAGUUUGGGGGCGGCGGAGCUACGAUUUUGACAAAUUGGAGAACACCCAAUUCUAGGGCUCCGACGGGUUUAUGGCAAUUGGAGGCUUUUUCCGGCCAAAAUGGACUUGGCCACAAGUAUAAAACUUGCUUUACUCAUUGAGAGCUUCAUUUCUGUAAAAUUUGGUAAUUUUUAAAAAUAGUUGAAUUUUUCCGACAAGUCGGGGCUGCGGGUGUAGUGGCGGCCUGGCCAAUGGGUCGAAGACGUCCUUUUAAGUUCAAAUAAAUGCCUUGGUUUCAUAAUUAAUAUUUGUAUGACGUAAUUUGAUUGUUUGGACUUAGUUCAUUACGAUACCUUACUUGGUCAAAAUAUAAAUCAACGAUCCGACCAUUGGAUCGUCACCAAACCUUAAUGCGUGAUAGAACAUAAUAUUUGUGCAUCAUAGAAACUUACGGAUCGGGAAUCCGACGUAUGAAUCUUCCCUAAUUGGAUUUCUAAGUUGGUAAAAUAAAUUGUUGACCGCCACUUAAUUCUAGUAAUUGGUGGAGAUCCGAUCGUCGGAUCGCGAUGGGAAUUUAGUAUGUUGUUCUAGAAGCAUAAUGUGGACUUUGGGAAGUUAUGGAUCAGAAAUCCGAUGUGUGGAUCUUUAGGAUCAAAUUACGUAGAGUUGUGGACCCUAUCGUUGACCAAGAGUUGAUUUGUGGUCAACACGUCUCGAAACGUUUUAAAUAACAAAAUUAGUACUUCGGAACUAAUUCAAGUCUAGUGGGCCUAUAUUGGUGAGAUAGUGACUUGAAUGCAUGAGAUAUAAUUAUUAUCUUAAUUUCUUAUAUUAGUAUCAUUUGUGAAUAUGAAUUGGUCUUAUAAAUAUGAUUUCUAUUGAAAUGUGAACUUUAUAUAUUUAGCCAUAGACCUAUGCUAAUUAAAUAUGUUUUGGCUUGUGUAUUGAUGAUGUUUGUGGUAUCUAUGUGUUUAAUUAACUUUUUAAUAAUGGGAAUGACAAUUAUGGGAUCUAAAUAUUGUUUGAUAAUUAAUUGGGUAUGAUUGCCAAAUGAAUACCUAUUCGAACUUGGCAUUAUUACCUAGCAUGAGAUGGAGAUGAAAUUCAGGAAAUGAGUUAGGUACUUUAUUAGAUUUUUAGUAGAAAUAGUAAUUGAGGGAAUUCCCUGUGUUGUGCUCCAUAUGACUAGAUGAUGGUUGAUAUGUGGAAUCGAUAGCAUGUAUGUGUAUAACUAUGUAUAACUUUUAUGCUUGUAUGAUAAGAUAGUUAGUGGUCAUGAGAAGUUGAUAGUGCAAGUGAUUCCGUUGAGUGAUGGUUCGGAAUCAUAUCCUUGUUUGGAUUCCGUUGAGUGGUCCAAAGUCGCAUCACUUUACUUGUUGGUUUCUUAGAUUUGAUAUCAGCUACAGAGAUGUAAGCUUGGCUUAACUGUGUCACUCUAGCCUUAGUUUUAGUAUAUUUGUGAGCAAUGGUUUUGAGAAUCUUGUGGAUUGAAUUAGAAAAGCUGUUGAACGUUUGGGUGACUCCUUCAAGAUUUUCUAUGAUUUCUUAAAGUAUGAAUUUAGAAGAUAUGGUUAUAGUUGUUAUUAUUCUGGUCAAAUUAGUUAAUUAGUAUGGAUAGAGAAUUGUAUUGUGCUUCGUCGGUUCUUUGAUAUGAUAUAUGUUGUGAAUUGCGGUAUCAUGUUGCGACAUAAUGACUUAUAUAGAAGAUGGAAGGGAAAUCAUGAUUUUCAGGUGGGUUUGUUAUGUAACCCUGAGUCUAGUAAUUUCAUGGUUGUCAAGUUAUAUUGAUUGAUUGAGAAAUGUUAUGCCUUUCGGCUUAAACGGACUGUGUUAUAUGUCAAUUGUAGUGCACGAUGAACUACGAAUGGCUUGAUCCCUAGGUAGGGUACGUAGGCAGUCUAACGAGAAGCUUACAUGCAGCCAUAAAGUGCACAAAUUUUACUACGCAAUUCGAGGCAUGUGCUUGCUAUAUAUCUCGGAGACGAGUAUGUUAGAUAUAUGGUUAUUUGAUGACGUCACGUGUCAAUCAUGGACGUACGUCAGGAUCGGGACGUGACAUAUAUAGUUAGAUAAAAUACUAUUAAUCUAUAAUACUAUUAAUAUAUGUACAGGGUAGAUUGAUAAAAUAAAAAAUUCAAGUAGAUAAACACCAACGAAACCAAAUGUGGUAUCUGGAUGACUUUCCCACAUCAUACCUUGCAUAUGAGCCACAAUGUUUAGUUCACUUUGGUACCGUUUGGUACGCAGACGGGACAGGACAAGACGGAAUGAAACAAAGGUUCCAUGUUAUGUUUGGUACGCGCAGGAUGGAACGAGAAGAUUGUUCCGUUCUGCGUUUGGUACUCGUUGGACGGAACGGAACCAAAAGAUUAAAUGACUAACUUACCCUUGUUCCAUAUGUUGUUUGGUACAAUGUUUAUGCGUGGGACGGGACGGGACAAUUUUAUUUUAUUUUAUUUUUGAACUUGUUCAUAUUUGAACACAUAUAUGCUCAUCUAUGAUACAUUUUUUACACUAGCACAUGGCUAAAGAUAUAUUAUGCCAUGACCACCGGUCUGCAAGCAUCUCUGGUCCUCGCUGACAUUGCGAAUUCAAAAAUAAGCAAAGAAUAAACAUUGUAUAACUGGAGCAGACAUUCGGUAGGGAUUCAGAUAAACUUGAUCCAUAUUAAAGACGUCUUAGUUGCAUUCAAAUUAUUUGCCCAAUAGCAGAACAGUUUUACACGUUCUCCUUAAUCUAAAUAUAUAAGCACAUAACAAAUUUAAACAGUAGGGCAUUGACAAAGAUCGACUCCAUGCUGUGGAACUUAAAUCCACUAGGAUAAAUCAUGAACAAAAUUAACACGACCAUAGGUCAAACAAUACAUCAGUCGUGCAGUGUUCCCAGUAUAUCCUCAUCUCGAUAUAGAUGGUACCUAAAACAGCAAAAAAUAAAUAAAAAAUAAUGAGCAUCUAAUCGGACAAAGGAAGUGAAUGUCGAAAGAAAUAAUACAGAAGUAAAUGUUCUCAAAACUGCAUCUAUUUCUCAAUCCUGACUAGUUUCACAAGUUCUUGUAACAUACGUAACAUAGUAUGCAUUCUCAAAUGUUGUUCAGUGUCACACACAGAAAUCCAAAAACACAUGCUAACUAAAGCACACCUCUGCUUUACUGCAAAGAUGCCUACUUGAGUCAAUUCGCCAAAUUGUAAUCCUAGUAAUAAUACACAUACAAUGGAUAAAAGCACACCUGUUUACAGAGAGCGAUAAAAAUAAGACACAUACAUACAAACCCCAUGGACAGUCAUUCGUGUAAGAGAAACAAGUAACAUUUCACUAUGUAUUGUAUCCAUAUGUUGGUUUAUCUGAAUGUCGCAAAUUUGCAAGAUCCAUGUGUUGUAUCUCACUGGACAAAAUAGAUAACAUUUCACUAUGUAUUAUCCAAGUACUACAAGGUGACAAAAUAGAAGCUGAGAAUCACUUGAAUGAACUUACUAAUGUGAUCAGUUGUCCUUUCUUCUUGUCUGUCUGCCUUUGAGCUUUUAUUCAGUUGAUAAGAUUCUUCAACAAAGUAGAGGGUAUGCACCAAAACCUAACAAAGUUAGACCUUAAUUAUUAGAUACAUACGAACAAGCAUCAACUGUAUACUCAACCUAUAAAAGAAAGGGCAAUCGAAAUAAAGAAAACACUAGAGCAGAAAAUUCCACCUUCCACAAUUGCUAAAUUAAUGUAUGAGUAAUUACAGCAAUAUUGGCUUCUAAUCAAUGUGACAUAAACCUCAAAACUAGCUAGAAGACUGAAUCGCAUUCAUAAUUCCACCAAUAUACGACAUUCAGAUCAACCAGCACAUGGAUAUGGCAUAAAUUUACUUGACCAAAACCCUACAGAAUGAGAUUACUUUACACUGGUGAGGGUAGCAUCUGGAAGUGAAAAUGAUAACCAAACUGUUGCAAAUCUGCAAGAGCACAUAUUUUCUAUUUCUACAGAAAAUUUAUCAACAUUAUUAGUUCUUUUCACCAUUUAAUUUCCAUAACUUUCGUGCUACUAAACACAAAAUAAACAUGACAGAAAAAACAUACAGAUUAAGAAGCAAACUUACUCGAAUUGAUAGGCAUAAUCGACGAGGUCGAUGUUGGGAAUAACAACAGGGCCUCUCGAAGGACAUGCACGAAACGAUUUUCUCAGAGGAAGACGAUUGUUCUCUGCAGGAUCAAACAUUCUCCUAAAACAAUAUGACUGAUUUGUGGAUCAAAUUAAAACCCAGAAAUCCCAGAAAUAAAUCAGAAUGCAGAAAUCCCAGAAGUAAAUCAAAACCCAUAAUCGAUUAAACCCAGAAAUCGAUAAAAACCAGAAAACGUUCAAAACCCACUAAUAAUUUCACAAAUCUUCAAAACAAAAUCGAAGAAAAUGAAGAAGAGGAAGUGGAAGAGGAAGCCCUGAGAGCUACAAAAAAACAGAUUGAACCUGGAACGGAGAUGCAGAUCUGAAGAUGCUACACGGAAGAGGAUGAGGAGGAAGGUUCGCAGAGCUGCUACACGGAAGAGUUGCGAAGGGGAAAUGCAGAGCUGCUACACGGAAGAGGAUGAGGAGAAAGGUUGCGAAGGGGAGAUGCAAGGGUGAAGAGGCUACACGGAAGAAGAUGAGGAGUAAGGUUACGAAGGGGAGAUGCAGAGGUGAAGAGGGUCAGCGGCUGAGAAGAAGAAAAGAUAGUUUUUAGGGUUUGUUGUAUGAUUUUGAUGAUGUAAAUUUUGAAAAAGACAAGGAGCAUUUUUGUCUUAAAAUGUUAAAAUUUUCUGUCCCGCGGACGUGGAACAACUCGUUCAGAGGGGAGGUGGAACAUAAAAUCAUUCAAAACUUGUCCCGUGAAACAGCCCGUUUCACUCGUUUUAGGUGCACCAAACGUGGAACGGAACGCAUCGUCCCGUUCCGUUCCGUCCCGUCCCACGUACCAAACGCGACCUUUAAGCAUGAUUAAAACGGACACGAGAAUUAAAUGCAAAAAGUGUCAUGCAUCAUUCAAAACAACACCCAAGUAGAAGAAUCAUCAUCCUGUUGUUGUAGAGCAACAAGUACCAUGAUAGUAUGUUUGAGUUUCUCUCAGAAAAGUUGUAGCGCAACCACCUUCAACUCAUGGUGGAGCAACAAUGCAGUCUUCCAUGUUGCAACAACUUUAGCAUAAAGGGGGAGGAUACUCCACCUGAUGCCCAACAGCAGACGCAAUAGACAUCCCCUUCUCAUCCCUCAUAUAUAAUCACCCCAAAAUCACCCAACCAAUAAUUCUUACGAGAAAGUUUAAGUUAUUAACAGAUUAGUUCAAAUCCUAUAAUUAAGGAAUAUGUUCAAUUACUAAUCCUAAAACUAAAGGAUUAGGUGCAUUUACAUAUUUAUAAUAAUUUAUAAUCUUAGGGGUAUAUUGGUGUGAAAAAAGUAAAUAUGUUGAUGUGAAAUCCUAGUCAUCAAACCUAUUUCACAUGACACGCUCCGACCCUGAUAUUCCCCGAAUACCAGGAUAGACACAUGUUGGCCGACACCCGAGGGUGACGAAAGCCAUUAAUUGAUACAAAAGCUAAGAAUAAGAAAUAAAUUAAAAAUUUAGGAACGUGCUCAGAACAUACAACUAACUAAAGUUCUAAAAGAAUUAAUAUAAAAUUUAAUAAAUAACGGAUGUGGUCCUACACCGAGAGGACUCGAAUAUGCCAAAGUGAAGACGUUGACGUCGUGAUCGUAUGCCUCGAUUCUAAAUCCUGAAAGGGGGCGCAAAACAAGGGUGAGUGGACCAAGUUCAUAUAUAUAUAUAUAUAUAUAUAUAUAUAUAUAUAUAUAUAUAUAUAUAUAUAAUCCGAAAACAGUUAUGAACAUACUAACCCCCAAGUUUAUAUAUAAUGAAAACUACUAGCAUAAUAAGUGAUGGAUUUAAAUAAAAAUCCUAGCAUGCCAAAAGUAUCUCAAAAAUCAUAUUACGGAAUAACAUCGCGGAAAUCAAAACAGUAAACAUCUCAUAGAUCAUCUCGUAAGCCCGGUGUGCUGCUAGAAAAAUCACUGAAUAAAUAUAACUCCCGGCCCAAUGCCUGUUUUGUGGUCUCUGCGCCCGUAGCCAGAGAUUACCAACUCCCAGCCCAAUGCCUGCUUCGUGUCCCUCAGCCCGUAGCUAGGGAUUAUUUCUCCCGGCCUAUCUGCCAACACUAGAUCCUCGCCCCAGGCGGCAUAGUGUCUACUAGGUACGCACAAAUAGUUACGCCUCUCAUAAAUAACCAUUUCAUAGCAUAAAGUCAUCCAUCGUCUAUACUAUAAAGAGAGGUUUCUAAAACAUGUCCUAGCAUCCUAUCGUCAUCCAUCGGAUAGUCUACCAGUUCAUGGUUUUUAUAGAAAAUACGAUAUAUUAAAAUAUAGCUCAAUAUAGGCCAACAAUUUAUUCCUCACCAAAAACACGAGACGAAAAUCAACAUAUUCAAUAAACAUGCUUAACAUAAAAUCAGAACAUAAACUCGUAAGGCAUGCUAUUCAUUUAUGCAAUUGAACUAUAAAAUCAUGUAAUUUUAGAAGGGGUCCACUCACAGUACUUCGCCGUCGAAAAGUCACGCAACUAGCAAAGACAGAAAUGCCACUAUAAUUGCCCCUAAGCACAUAAAGAGUCUAAUAAAUAAAACUAUAUAAUAGCAAUUGAAUUUGGGAAAACGGACAUUGGAAACGGAUUCAGAACAUCGAAUUACCAUAUAAGAAGGGUCCUGGUUAAAAAAAAGACUCGAAGGCCUUAAGCCUAAGGAUUUUGGGUUUCUAGAUAAAAAGGAUUGGGUUAAAAAAGGUUAGGACCUAUUAAGUUUUGGGUUUGGAUAUGUUAGGUACAAAAGGGGUGGUUUGGGCUUAAGCCCAAAUCCACACACACACGGCACACAACAUACACACACACACACACAUACUACACAAACACACACACACACACACACACUCACAGCCCAAAGGCCUCACAACCAAAAGGGUUGGGCUCGGCAGGGAAGGCCCAAAGGCCUUGGGUUUCGUGGGUCGCCGGACCCAAUGGGAGAGAAAGCCAGAAAUCGGCCUGAAACUGCACAACCUUUAAACGGCCAUAACUUUGUCACAACUCAACGAAAUCAAGUGAAACAAGAACGAAAGUUGUAGUUAUCGAAGAGAUGAAGAGAAUGGUACCUCGCACGACGUCUAACUCGCCGUGGUUUGGCCGGAAAACGCCUCGAAAGCUGUCGGACUCGCCGGAAACUGGGUAAGAUUCAAAUGAGUAUAACUUCUUCAAUACUCAACGAAAUUGGGUGAAACAAAAAUGAAAGUUGUAGUACUCAGGGAGAUGAAGAGAUUGAUACCUUAAAUGCCGGCCAACUCACCGCGGUUUGGCAGGAAAUGGCCUCGAAAGGGACAGUGCUCGCCGGAGGCUCCUGGGAUUUCGUCGUCCUUUCUACAACGAGAGAGAAAAUUGCAGAGGUUUUGAUGGUGACGUCCUCAGCAGAUGGUGUGGUUGAGUGUUGCUUAGGGAAAAGGAGUUGCAGGAUUUCGUCGUCCUUUCUACAACGAGAGAGAGAAAACCUGCAGAGGUUUUGAUGGUGAUGUCCUCAGCAGAUGGCGUGGCUGAGUGUUGCUCGGGGAAAAGGAGUUGCAGCGAGGGAGAGAGAUGAGGUUCGAGAGAGAGACACGGGAGAGUUGGAGAAGAGAAGAGAGAGAGAGACCAGGGGAAAACAAAAAAAAUCAUAAGGUGGGCCCCACGUGGCUCACCAUUUAAGAACUAAAACUAUUUUUAAAAUAUAAAAGGGGGUUGGGGUGUUUCAUCACAUAAAUGACUAUUUUUAAUUCUGGCUCACAAAAUAGGAUCUAUAUCAAUUUUCCCCUAAAAAAAAUUAUUUAACUCAAAAUUCACCAAAAAAAUAAUCUAUAAAUACCUAUGUAUUUGUUCCAAUAUCCAUAUAAAACUCAAUUUUCUCCUACAAUUCUUCCAAUUUAUCUUUCUACCAUUUCUUUCCAUUUCCAAAUUGUUCAACAUGGCAAGAGAGCAUAUUAGAGGUUGUAAUUGGACCUAUGAGGAAGUUGAAGGCUUGCUUUGUGGAAAGAUUUAGUGAUUUUUGAACAUUUAUUAGAAUUUAAAUAUUUUUAGAUCAAAAUGUUCAUAUAAUUAAUUUACGAUAGUCUACAUAAUUUUUUGGGUAAAGUACAAAAAACUACCUCAACUAUUGGUAUCACGACACUUUCAUACCUCAUCUUUAGAAUUUAGUCCAAUGUUAUACCUUCCGUUACUUGGCCGUUUACUUUUCAGUUAAAUGCUGACGUUACUUGAUCCGGAACCCACUUUUUAUUAAAAAAUUAAUAAAAUAUUAUUAAAAACUAAAAAAAUCAUUUAAUAAUUUUUAAAUAUUAAAAUAAUAAAGAAAAGUUUAAAAAAAAAUUAAAAAUCUUCUGUUCGUGCCCUUUCCCCUACCAUUUUCUCUCUCUUCUCCCCCAUCUUCAUCUUCUUCCCCCUUCCAGCUCCCUUCCUGCAACCCAGAAAAAAAAAAGUUAAAAAAAAAAAAUCCCAAGUUCGUCCCCUUCCCCAGUUCCCCCCUCUUUCUUCUCCCCCAUCUUUAUCUUCUUCCCUCUUCCUGUGACCCAGAAAAAAGAAGGUAAAAAAAAUAAAAAUAAAACAAAUUUGUCUUCCCCCUCACCCACCCUCAGUUUGUUCCCCCCCCCCCCCCGGAAGAAGAAGAAAGAGAGAGAGGGGAAAAAAACAAAAAAAAAAGGAAACCCAGUUGAAGGGUUUGUCCGUCCUUCCCCCCCUCCCCCCUUUCGUCCCUUCCCCCUUCAUCUUCUUCCCCUACCUGCUUAAUCUUCAACAAAAAAAAAAUAAAAACCCAUCAACCCCGAAACCCCAUUCCUGAAACCCCCCCCCCACCCAGAUCCCUCCACACCUGCAACCCAAAUCCACCACCCCUCCAAUCUGCAAAAGAAGAAGAAGAAGAAGGAAAGAAAAAAUAAAUAAAAAUGCCAGUUCGUCUGUCCAUCCCCCUCACCCUACCCAACUUGCAGAAGAAGAAGAAGAAGAAGAAGAAGAGAGAAGAAGGAAAAAAAAAAAAAAAAGGAAACCCAAAACCUAGUUCGUUCGUUCCUCCCCCCACCCCCACCCCCAUCGCACCCAACUUGCAGAAGAAGAAGAAGAAGAAGAGAGAGAAGAAGAAAAAAAUAAAGGAAACCCAAAACCCAGUUUGUCUGCCCCCCAACCCAAAACCCAGUUCGUCCGCCCCCCCCCCCCAACCCACCCAACUUGCAGAAGAAGAAGAGAGAAAAGAAAAGAAAAAAAAUAGGUAGGGGAAGAAGAUGGGUUUUCAAAUUUGGGCCGGGGGGGUUUGACGGGAUCUGGGGGGUGUGAUGGGAUUUGGGCGGGGGGGGUUCAGGUAUGGGGUUUCGAGGGGGUUGAUGGGUUUUCAAAUUUUAUUUUAUUUUUUUUUUUUUGUUCAAGAUUAAGCAGGUAGGGGAAGAAGAUGAAUGGGGAGAAGAGAGAGAGGGGGGAAUGGACGAAAGGGUUUUUUUUUAUAAUUUUUUUUUACUUUUUUUAUUAUUUUAAUAUUUAAAAAAUAUUAAAUUUUUUUUUUAGUUUUUAAUAAUAUUUUAUUAUUUUUUUUAAUAAAAAGUGGGUUUCGGAUCAAACCAUGUCAGCAUUUAACUAAGAAAUUCACGCCAAGCUAACGGAAUGUAUAACAUUGACACAAAUUCGUAAGAUGAGGUAUGACAUUGUCAAUUUUAAAAGAUGAGGUAUGAAAGUGUCGUGACACCAAUAGUUGAGGUAGUUUUUUGUACUUUACCCUAAUUUUUUUUUUAAAUUUAAUUUAAAAAAAAAAUUAGCCUAAGUUCAUUAUUUAAUAAUCUCGGGCUAAAAUUUUAGGCCAGAAGGGUAUGAGCAGAAAAACUUAAACAAAAAUGCUCCCAAAACAAAAAAAUUCAAAAACAACCCAAAAUAAUGCUGGGGUACUUUCAUGAUUUUAAUAGUAUUUUUUUAAAUAAUAAUUCUUUUUGUACAAUUUUUUUUUAAAUUAAUAUCUCACAAUAGGUUAGCAAUAAUAUAAUUCAAUCAGUUGUUCAUUAAAUAUUAUUUUCUCUAUUUUUAAACACUUUCAAAACAUCUUAAAAGGUGUGUAAUACCGGUUAAAAAAAAAGUCUUUCACACGCACAUAAUAAUGUGAUUAAAUUAGUUGUUAAAUGAUUUUUUUUAACAAACAAUAUUAUAUAUACUAAGGGGGAGGAGAUGGGCUUAGCCUCACAAUGAACUAGCAAUAAUGUGAUUUAAUCAGUUGUUUAUCAAAUAUUAUUUUCUCUAUUCUUAAUGUAAAUUCAAUAGAAUGUAGAUGGAAAUUGAAAUGCCGAAUUUAUUAUGUGAAUUUAACUGCUUUGAUUGGUUUGUGAGGGAUUUUUUCUAGCAUGAUCUAAGAUUAUUCAUUUAAUUCAAAUAUUUGAUUUUCCUUUUGUCAAUUCACGCAUAUUAUUACGUUUACAAUUUGUCAAUUCACGCAUAUAAAUAUGUUUACAAUGUGAAGAAGGCAGUUAUAAUAGCCUUCACGGGAAGACACAACACAAAACAUUAAGAUUUUCAAGAGUUCUAAGUAGAUCAACCAAUAUAAUACGACAAUACGAGUCACCCACGAGUAAGCCAAAUGGAAGAAAAUAAACUACUCGUGCAGGAUAUUCCAUGAAACGGUGUGAUAUCCACACACCCUUUUUUACUUCUCCCACACCUUUUUGGUUUUCGACCGUUGGAUCGGAUAAAUUGAAUAAGAUCAACGGACAGAAAUUAACAAGGGGUGUGUGAGAAGUAAAAAGGGGUGUGUGGAUAGCACAUCCCUUCCAUGAAAUCAAAGUAUCAUUUAACUAAGUAUGGCCAUGCGCAACACUAUAAUAUACAGAAAUCAUGCUUUUUUAAGUGACCCGAAUAUAUGUAUGAGGCGUCUUUGAGAUGGCAGCUUAUUAACUUGCUAUGGCUCAACCGCUAGUGUCCAAAGUUCACUACCAAAGACCAUGUGGACAGAUUUAAGCGCCAUCUAAAAAGAAUAUAACUUAGACAACUGCUGACCUGCACCAAAAGCUAAAUUAGCAAGAAAGUAAAUUCCAGCUGCAGAUACAAACAUCACGAUACAUCACAUAAACCUAAGAUGAAGCUAAACUCAAUAAAAAGACAUGCCCACUGACUUGCCAGAAACCAGCCAGUUUAGUUUUAGGAGAAUUCACACUUUUAAUCCAGUCCUUAACUAUGUAUUUUUAAGAAUCCUGAGAAAAUGCAUAUCAUAGACGAUUAAAGUUGGAUUGACAAUCACAAACGAUAAACUUACAUGAAGGGCAGUUUUCCAUGGAUAGAUAGUUCUUGUUAUGAUCCUGCAAAGGAGAUGCGAAACAGUUCAAAAAACCGCUAAUAUCAAUCCAACUACAUCCAGUCUCCUUCCUCAAACCCUUUUCCCUCAUUUGUUUCCUCACAGUAUCCACGUUUUCCCACUUGCCUUCCUCGGCAUACAUAUUUGAGAGCAAAACAUGGUAGCCCGUUUUGCCAUUUGCUGCCUCUAGUUCAAGCAAUUUCCCAGCAACAAUCUUUCCCAAUUCAAAAUGUUUAUGAAUUCUGCACGCCCCAAGAAGUGAGCCCCAAAUUUCCAUCGCAUCACCCUCUUCGCCCAACCCUUUGACAAACUCGUAGGCUUCAACCACUCUCCCAACCCUCCCUAACAUGUCAGCUAUAUAGCAAUAGUGUGCCGUUAGUGGUUUAAUAUUGUAUUCCCCUUUCAUUGAAUCGUAUAUCGAAAGACCUUCGUUAACCAAACCAGCAUAACUGCAGGCAGACAAGACCGCAACAAAGAUUAUGGCAUCAGGUGCAGUGCCAGAUUUCUGCAUUGAGUGAAACAAAGAGAGAGCUCUCUCACCCAUUCCAUUCUGACCGUAGCCCAGCAUCAUUGUGGUAUAUGUGACAGUGUUCUUCUCAUGGGAUCCAGCGAAAACAUUUUCAGCAUAAGUGACUGCACCACAUUUGGAAUACAUGUCAAUUAGAGCAGAUCCCACGAAGACGUUUUGGUCAAGGUAGUGGCGGAUAGAGAACCCAUGGAUUUGCUUAACCAUAUCUAUGUUUCCCACAGGAUUACAAGCUGGUAGAACUGAUGCUAAGGUCACAUCAUUUGGUAUUAUUGCUCAAGCAUCUGCCUAAAGACAAAGAAAGCUUCUUCAGAAAUCAUAGUAUUCCAUGAAACAACAUCCCUCUCAGGCAUCUUAUGAAAAAUUUUGAAUGACAUGUCAACAGAAUUGCACCUUGAAUACAUUACGAUAGUCGCAUUGAGUAAAAUAACGGGCAUCAAUCUCAAAUGCUUGAUGAUAAAAGCAUGCAGCUGUCCAGCUAAUUCCAACUGUUGCAUCUGUGAACAUGCAGUUAAAACUGAUAGGAAGGUCACCUCAGCAAGAAUAGCCAGUUCUGAGUUUACAGCUUGAAAGAAGAGGUCGAUCGCUUCAAUAGGACUGUUAUUUUGAACAUAUGCACCGAUCGUAGUGUUCCAAAUCUCUGUAUUUCUCUCCGAACAAUGGUCAAAAGUCUUCCUAGCAUAUUCAAGGCAACCAAACUCGGCAUACAUAAAUAUUGCCGAGCUCACAACAAACAAGUCAGUCACAUAUUCCCCACCCAACCUAAGAAGCUUACCGUAUAAAACACUCGCGUUCUUAUAGUCUCCCAUAGCGGAAAGUGCAGGGAAAACAUUGACAAAACUGACAGCACUCGGUCUUAUUCUCAUUCCCAUCAUCAUCCUAAACUGCUUCACUGCUUCUGCAUAUCUUUCCGUCUUAACAUACCACGAAACCAGCGUAUUCCAAGCAACCACAUUCCUCUUGCGCAUUGUAUCAAACACUCUACGCACUAAAUCAUACUGUGAAUAAUCAAAGUCAUAAUAACAAGCAGAGUACAUAUUCAAAAGCAAAUUACACACAAUCCUACUGGGUUCGGAUGACACCGAAGAACAUGGCAAUGCAGGGCUUACCCAUCUUGAAAUUGCGCGUGUCGGUGCAGGCUUUGAGGGUAGAAGAGUAAGUGUAAGGGUCGGCCUUGGUGCCGGGAGAGGCAGAUUUCAUCUGGGAGUAGAACAAGAGGGCUUCAUUGGCCAUGUUGUUGCAGAUGAAUCCAAUGAUGAUGGUGUUCCAGAGCACGGUGGAGGGGCGAGGCAAAGUAUCGAACAGUUGGCGGGCAAGGUGAGGAGGAGGGAUUCCUCCUGAAAAUGUUUUGCGGACGAUUCAUAAAAUUUCGUGCUAAUGAUCGAAACCAUUAAUGAUAUAAAUCAUUAUGGAAAGAUCAUCUUUAUAAAAAAAAAUUAAAGUAAUGGUUAUUAAGUCAAAUAACUGCAACAAAUAGAUAAAACAGCUCAUAAUACUAUUAACAAUUCUUACUAUAUAUUUUUACACAUUUUGAUGACAUAACGAUUUCAAGUGGUGAUCUUUACGCAACGACAUAUAAUAUGAACAAUUCUAACGAUAAACACAAAAUUUUGAGAGUCCGUUACAACACAUUUUUAGGAAGAUAUCCUUCUCAUCGUUUCAGUUGUAAAGUAUUAUUCUAAGCAUGUAUAUCAAUUGCAUGGCUUGUGGGAUGGGGGUGGUGUUUUAAUUCUUGGAUUUUUUUUCAUGUGGAGGUGAUGAUGUCAUGCCUUUGCUGUCAUUUGCUAAUUUUUUUUCAUGUGGUCUAUUAAUACGUUAGUGGUUGGCAAUGCUCACAGCAUGUAAUGAAGAGUUGGUCAUCUGGAGCUUUCAUUAUUAUUAGUAAAAAAACCUCUAUAUUGAAAAUGAUGUCAAAAUCAGUUUUUAGGCAUGCAUUAGGUGCACAUACCAGCUGAAUUGAUCAGUACAAGUUAGAUUUUCAAAGAAGAGAAAAUGUCACCACAAGACUUUAAGAUUCGAUACGUUGAACUAUGUAUUAACGGAAAACUUACAAUACAAACGUUGCAAAUUACAUGACGUAAAAAUAAACGAGGAGAAUAUAAAAGCCCCCCCCAACCCAAUUAAAUUUGAUCAAUAAAACGCCCUAAUGAAGAGUACGAAGAACCACCAUCCACCAAGGCUUUCUUGCUCUUUUCACUCAUCUCCUUCACUCUUUUCCUUACAUCACUGUCAAGCUCCAUCACUUGCCUUAUCCCUCUUUCUAUGUCUUCUGCACUCACCACCACGUCGCUGUCCUUCCUAUAAUCCAUCUUAAUCUCCACUGCCAAUCCCAACUCCACAACCAACUGAAAGGCAUUCAGGUUUUGCUCCGCGUACAUUGGCCAUGCGGCAAUCGGCACGCCAUUCCAUAAACUUUCCAACGUAGAAUUCCACCCGCAAUGUGAUACAAACCCUCCGGUUGCCGGAUGGCCUAGGAUUGCCGCUUGCGGGGCCCAACCAAUCACCUUCCCAACCGUAGCCGUCCGAUCAAGAAACCCUUCGGGCAAGACUGCCUUUAGAUCCUCGUAGUCUCUUGGCAUAGCUCUCUGGCCAUUAGGUGGGGGCCGGCGUAGGGACCACAAAAACCGAUGUCCGCUGUGCUCUAGCGCGCACGCUAUCUCUUUCACCUGGGCCUCACCGAAACUUCCCAUGCUUCCAAAACACAGGAACACCACCGAGAAAGGAGGCUGAUCAUCAAGCCACCUCAAGAUAUCCGAGCCCUUAUCUUCAUCACUACUUUUGAGAUUCAAUAAGGGUCCCACUGGAUACACGGGUGGGAUUUUAUCACCAGAAUCAAGAUAAUGAAGAGCAUGCGAUUCUAGCUCCAUGAACGUAUUUACCAAAAUACCCUUGGUUUGUUUCAACAUGCUGGCGGAGUUGAGGAUUGAUUUGGUGCCCUCCUUGUCCAGAAACGAACCAGGCAAGACGGCGGCAGGGUAAGGGUUGAUGAAACUCGGGACGGCCAACUCAGCGGUUGAGCUCGUCAACUCAGUUAUAUCUAUUCCCCCCUCGUCACGAAGCGAUUGAAAAUGGAAAAAAAGUGCGAGAGUCGAAGCGUUGGAGGUGAAGAACAGGUAGGAGGGAACCUUAAAUUCGUUGGCCACGUUCAUUAGGCUUACGCAAAAUAUGUCGAGCACGAACCCGGCAAGCCGAGGCUUCGACGUCGACUCAGACUGAUCUGACUCUGGGAGUAAGUUGAUAACGGCGUCUCUGACGUGAGAUUUGUGAUUUUCGACGAGCAUUCUGAAGAAGGACCCGGGAUUGGGGACAGUGUCUUGUUUGUCCGGUUGGGCUUCGGGGAGGUUGACGAAGUUGAUGCGGUGAGAGAUUGAAGAAUCAGUGUUGGUGAAUGGUUGGGCGUGGGGAAGCUUCAUGACGAGGACUGUGAUAAACAGUUCGUCGUCCCGAGCAACGAGUUGCUUUGCCAUCUCGACCGUUGAUACGAUGUGGCCAAUGAUUGGGGCGGGAACGAACACUAGUUGUGCUGGUCUCUUCAUCUUUUGAGAAAUGGCAAUGAAAAGCUGAGCUGUUUUAUUUAGAAAAACUCUUUCAUUUUAUAGUAGAAUGGUAUGAUGUCAUGCCUUCGCUCAUAGUUUCUGGAUUCCCUACACGUCAAGAUCUUAAUUAAUUUUCAUACUGGAAAGACUUGGACAUCAAUAGCAAGAAGAUAAAACAAAAGGUUGUCAAAUUUUAUUUUGGUUCCUCCACUAGCCGUAGUCUAUGGAUAAGUACCACCAAUUAAGUUUCACUUUUUAUUUUGGUACUUACGUUUCAUAUUGCCUUGAGUAGAAUGUUGAAGAAUUGAAAACCGACAUGGUUCACACGCGGUCAAGAUUUCAGUUACCAUUACUAAGCACACCAUGUUCUAUACAGUGGUUAUCUUUUCUUCUUCUUUUCUCAAAAGCAACGAAAUAUUCAUCGUCGAAUUAGAAUCUUGUUCACAAUUAGAAUGCUGGGGUUGGGGUUUGUUCACAAUUGGAGCAAUAGUAUAGGUCCCGGAAUGGAGAUACCCUUACCUUUAUCAUUCUUCUUUUGACCCUCAUUCUUGUCCUCAUCAUCCUCACUGUCAGGAAGAUUAUCAGAGUCCUCCAUCCUAACCAAAAUCUCGAAAUACUCAUGAUAAUCAGCGCAGGGAAGUGCAUUGGCAAAGGUACGCCACUUCUUCUUAGAUCCCAACUUGAAACGUCGAAGCAUCUCUCCCUGAUUACCAGCUAUAUCAGGGUCAUAACGAGACAAAUCAGUAAACCUUCUAUAAUAUUCAUGUGCCGACAUAUUUCUCUGUUUCAACCUGGUGAAUUCCUGUUUCUUACGAUCAAUAUACUCAGGAGGGACGAAUCUCUUCAUAAAAUUCUCUUUGAACACUUUCCAGUCGGCUGCCGUCUCAGGUGACAUGUACCUAGUCUGAUUCAUCCACCAUGCUGCUGGUUCAUGACCCAAAAACCAAGUGGUGGUCUCCACCCACCUAUUAGCAGGGAGAUUCCCCUGACUCUGCAUCACCUGGAAGGUCUUCUCAAUAUGAUCUAGCCGUUUCUCUGCCCCCUCAUGACUUUCAUUACCCAUAAACCGAUCUAACUUCAAGUUGUACAUGGUCUCCAGAGGUGUCCUCGGAGGAGGGGGAGGACGAAUCACAUUUUGUAAAGCCUGGGCCAUCGCUUCCCCUAGCUGAGUAAUAUCCGGGAAAUUAGGUUCAGAAGUACGGCGGGACUCCCUACGCUCCCUACGAGGCGGCAUGAUUCUGACAGAAAACAUCAAAAGAUCGUUAAGACAUUAACAAAUUUACAGGACUGCAACCUAAGCUCUGAUACCAAACUGACACACCCCGAUCCGGAGGAUCCAGGUGUGCUGGCCGUCACGUGGGCGUGACGUAACCAUCGGCGCGACACGGAAGCAAAAUAACAAUAUAACUCAGCAGAAAUUCAAACCAAACUCAAACAUAACCACCUACGAACAUAACCGGACGAGUUAUCAGGUAAACACAUAAGUUCAGAGCAUAGGUUAACUGCAGUCAAGUAGGUCUAAAAUAAAAUACAUCACCCUCAGGUGAGUCCUACAUGUCGAAGGUCUGUCAGAAAGCCGGAAAAGACCUCGAGAGCCACCAACCGCUAAUUUAGAACCUGGAGGGGCGCAAAACAAAAUGAGUGGGUCAGUAAAACCAAAGAUUUUCCAAAACAUUUCAAUUAAAACAUUUCUAACCCCUCACCGUAAAACCUGUAUACAUUCUCCAGAAAAAGUAGAUAUAUAUAAAACCAUAUGAAGUCUCAAAACUUAAAUCCCAAAUCUUUAACAUUUUUCAAGGAAACAUGCCAUGCAAUAAAUCAAAAUAUAAAUCAGGUGAAAUAAGGAAUCAAUCGGAGACCCUGCAGUUGGUCCUAUACGAUUAAUUCAACAGCUCAAUAUCCCACUAAGCCGGAGCCACCACAGUGACCUGUACGGCCCUACUCUGCACAUCACUCGGAACUACGUGAGGUAGUCUAUACGAUGAAAGGUGUAAAAAUACGCUCUAGUGCUUCUCUCAUCAUAUCAUCAGCGCGCAUAUCUAAGGUCACCCACCAGUCAGAACCCCUCUAAUGGUCUGUGCGACUGGCAUGUCGGAACCCUCACAUGGUCUGUACGACAUCCACCUACUUGGAUCCAAGGCGAGCGUGCGGUGUGGUGAAUAAAAUAAGCACUAACACCUAGGGUGCAGGUUAUGAGCUUGAAACAUCUUAUCAACAAUCAAUUAAAUGAAUAAUGAACUCACCUGACUUACCUGUGCCUCCACAGCACCAUGCAACAUGUAUGCAUCAUAUAUCAAUCAUAUAACUCAUAUGAAAUUCACAUUUUCCAAAUAAUUCUAUGCAUGGCAUUUUCAAAACAUAAUUUCGUAUAAAUUCAUCUUCUGGGAAAAAUUAAUAGUAUAACGGUAAUACGAAAACAAAACUGCCCACUCACUGAUAAGUCGACGGGUCGUAACCCCCGUGGCGUCCCUGGAUGCGGUCGUCCUCGGGAUACGUCUCACCUAUAUGCGAAAUAAAUAUAAAACGUUAAUUUUAAACACAUCACCAAUAUUUCGAAAUAAUUUCUCAUACGAUGCUCAAUUUGGGUAUAUGAAUAUACCACAUCGACCUACUCGACGUCACGAGCGUCGAGAAAUUUUUAGAAACUGAUUUGGACUCCCCACGCGCCCUCACGCGCCGGCUAGAGCUCGGCUCUACGCGCAGGCCACGCGCAGCCACGCGCAGCACGUGUCAUCGUCUUCCCCAGGGUUCGCCGGACUGGUUUUUCCGGCGACCCAAUUCCGGCCAAACUUUAAACCUCUUGUUCUCCUUCGUUUUUCACCCAUUUUCUUCGUAUUUUAUACCAAAUUGAAGCCCUAAGAGUGUACUAUCACGUUGGACUAGUUUUAGGGUCUAAAAAUCAAGAAAUCUCACCGAGCAAAAUCCAAGAAUUCGGCCAACUUUGAAACCCACGAUCCCGACGUCCAAAUCCUUCAAACGAACGUCCCCGAGCUUCCUUAGGACCUCACUAAGCUUGCUAUAAGCUUGAAUUCCCCUGAAACACAACAUUUUACGUUCGCAUGAACAGUACCCAAAAAUGGAGGUUUCGGAUUCCACGUGAAAUCGAAGGUCUCACUUCCUAAAACUAGCACCAAUGAACUCAGGACGUCAAAAGGAUGAAGAUACAUACCUUAUUUGCCUCGAUCCGUCAAGUUUUGAAGGGUUUUGGUGGUGGUCCGUACGUGGAGGGUGAGGGAAAGAGAGAGAUCGUGAGGGAGAGAGACAGAGAGUGCUACGGGAGGGAGAGAAGACAGGGAGUGCGUGUGUGUGUGUGAUUGUGUGGUCCAACACAAUCCUCACCAUCCAUCCAAAUCCCUAACCACAAAAAUUUCAAUUCCAAUAGUUUAAUCCCAAAACUUAACAAAAUUAAUUCAGAUAAUGUCACACACACACGUACCCAAAUGUCCGCCAAGGGUAAUUACGUCAAUUCACGCCCCCGAUAUAGAAAUCCCAGGACGGGCUGUGACAAUCUCCCCUCCUUAUAGAAUUUCGUCCCCGAAAUUCCCACAAUCAAAUAACCACUUAGUACCCAUAAAAUAACCUUGGGUACAUCUCUCUCAUCCGAUCUUCCGUCUCCCAGGUAGCUUCCUCUGCAGAAUGGUUCCUCCACAACACCUUGACCAAACUCACCGUCUUGUUCCUUAGAACCUUAUCUUUCCAAUCCAAUAUAGUGACCGGUUCCUCAUCAUACGUCAAAUCCGGAUUAAUCUCUAACGGUUGAGGAGGGAUCACAUGAGAAGGAUCAGAAAUAUAAUGUCGAAGCAUGGAGACGUGGAACACAUUAUGGACCUUAGAUAACUCCGGAGGCAGCUCUAACCAGUAGGCAACUUCACCAACUCUUUCGGUGAUCACAUAAGGUCCAAUGUAUCUCGGACUUAGCUUUCCUCUUUUUCCAAAUCGAACCACACCUCUCCAAGGUGACAAUUUCAAAAACACCCAAUCACCCACAUCAUAUACUCGAUCAGUAGUAUGCCGAUCCGCUAAACUCUUCUGUCGAUCCUGAGCUGCUUUCAAGUUUGACUUAAUUACCUAAACAUUUUGAGUUGUCUCAUCCAUAAUCCCAGGGCCUUCUAACACCCUUUCACCAACCUCAGACCAACAUAAUGGUGUUCGACACGCCCUACCAUAAAGUGCCUCAAACGGAGACAUACCAAUGCUUGAGUGAAAACUGUUAUUAUAAGCAAACUCCAUCAAAUCUAGACGAUCAUGCCAGGAAUCACCAAAUUGUAACACCGAAGAUCUCAACAUAUCUUCCAACGUCUGGAUGGUCCUCUCUGAUUGCCCAUCAGUUUGAGGAUGAUAAGCUGUGCUAUACAGUAAUUGUGUACCCAGAGCUUCCUGAAAAGCCACCCAGAAUUUAGAAGUAAAUCUUGGGUCUCGGUCAGAGAUAAUAUUUACUGGAACUCCAUGAUACUUUACAAUCUUUGAAAUAAACAACUUAGCCAAUUUAUUCAGAGGGUAUUUCUCCCUCACUGGAAUGAAAUGCGCUGACUUGGUAAGUCGAUCUACAAUCACCCAAACGCCAUCAAAUCCAUUUCGGGUACGAGGAAGUUUAUACACGAAAUCCAUGGUUAUAUUUUCCCAUUUCCACUGGGGAACGGGAAGUGGCUGCAUUCGCCCAAAGGGCUUCUUUUCUUUCCGCUUUAACCUGCUGGCAAAUAAUACAUCUACUCACAUAAUCUGCAAUUUCUCUUUUCAUACCCGGCCAAUAAUAAAAUGGUCGAAUGGUAUGGUACAUUUUUGUUCCUCCCGGGUGCAUCGCAUAAGCUGAACAAUGUGCUUCAUCCAGAAUUUCCUUCUUCAAUUCCUCAUUAUUCGGAACAUACAUUCUGUUUUCUUGCAUGAGCAUACCAUCUGAUUCCCGAAUUCUGAGGUCUUUCUUUUUCCUUUCACUUCUUAACUGAACCAACUCCUGAAUUUCUUCAUCCACCAUCUGAGCUGCAAGUAUACGAUCCACCAAAACUGGCCUGACUUGAAAACUAGCAAGAAAAGCUCCAUCUCGGUUUUCAAAUUCCAACCUUACCCCCGUUGUCCUCAAUUCAGCAAGAAGAGGAACACGACUAGCAUAUAAGGCAUUAAGCCUACCUUGAGGUUUCCUACUCAGUGCAUCCGCUACCACAUUAGCACGACCUGGAUGAUACUCAAUAGUACAAUCAUAAUCACUUAACAAUUCCAUCCACCUUCGCUGACGAAGAUUAAGAUCAUGCUGAGUAAAUAAAUACUGAAGACUCUUGUGAUCAGUGAAAAUCUUACACUUCUCACCAUACAAAUAAUGCCUCCAAAUCUUUAAAGCAAAAACAAUUGCUGCCAAUUCAAGGUCGUGAGUAGGAUAAUUUCUUUCAUGAUUUUUCAAUUGCCUAGAAGCAUAGGCAAUCACCUUAUUAUGCUGCAUCAAAACACAUCCCAAACCAUUUAAUGAAGCAUCAUUAUAGAUCUCAAAAUUACCGCUAUCAUCAGGAAGUACCAACACCGGUGCAUGGGUGAGGCAAUACUUCAAUUGCUGAAAACUCCGCUCACAAUUCUCAUCCCACUCAAAUUUAACAUCCUUCCUGGUCAACUUUGUUAACGGUAAAGCAAUCAUGGAGAAAUCCUGAACGAACCGUCGAUAAUAACCUGCUAAACCCAGAAAACUGCGUACCUCAGUGACGGUUCGAGGUUGCUCCCAAUUCUCCACCGCUGCUAUCUUUUGAAGAUCAACUUGAAUUCCUUGAGCCGAUACAACAUGCCCCAAAAAUGCCACUUCGGACAACCAAAACUGACAUUUACUGAACUUGGCAUACAACUGAUGCUCCCUUAAUUUCCUUAACACCAAAUUAAGGUGUCGGAUAUGAUCUGCUUGGGAUUUAGAGUAUACCAGAAUAUCAUCAAUAAAAACAAUAACAAAUUUAUCAAGAUAUUUCUGGAAUACCUCAUUCAUCAAUCUUAUAAAAGCUGCAGGUGCAUUAGUCAACCCAAACGGCAUAACCAAAAAUUCAUAAUGUCCAUACCGAGUCCGGAAGGCCGUCUUAGGUACAUCAUCUUCCUUAAUCUUCAAUUGGUAAUACCCAGAUCUCAAAUCAAUCUUAGAAAAUACACACGCACCUUUCAGUUGAUCAAACAAAUCAUCAAUAUGAGGCAAUGGAUAACGGUUUUUAAUCGUUACCCGGUUCAAUUGCCUAUAAUCAAUACACAAUCGCAGAGUUCCAUCCUUCUUCCUCACAAAUAAUACUGGGGCACCCCAAGGUGAAGAACUAGGUUGAAUAAAACCCUUAUCAAGUAAUUCUUGCAACUGGAUUUUUAAUUCUCUCAACUCAGCAGGAGCCAUUCUAUAAGGAGUCAGAGAUAUAGGGUCCGUACCUGGAAGCAAAUCAAUAGUGAAUUCCACCUCCCUGUCUGGUGGCAAUCCCGGCAAAUCAUCAGGGAAUACGUCCGGAUAAUGUCUGACCACACCAACUUCUUCUAUACUAGUGGGGGCAACCUCAUUUAACACCACAUGCGCCAAAUAUCCCUGACAACCCUUCGAUAACAAUUUCCUCGCCCUUAAGGCAGAAAUAACCCCAUGUCUCACCCCACUUCUCUCGCCCACAAAAGUAACCUCGGGUAAUCCAGGACGAUAAAAAGUAACUGAUUUACCAUAACAAUCAAUAUGGGCACGAUUAUGGUGUAACCAAUCAGCCCCUAAGAUUACAUCAAAAUCCACAAUAUCUAACGGAAUAAGAUCAGCGGACAUAAUCAUGCCCUCAACCAUCACUGGACACCCAAGAUACACACUAUCCACAUAACAUUUAUCUCCUCUAGGCAUGGCAAACUCUAAAUCAAAUCCUAGAGGUGAAGGGUGAGGUUGGGUCAUUUGAGCAAACGUAUGAGAAAUCACAGAGUGCGUAGCACCACAAUCAAUCAAAACCUUAGCAAAAUGACCAAGAACAUUUAACGUACCCAUGAUCAAGUCUGGAUGGUUCUGAGCCUCCUGCAGAGAAAUAUGAUUAACUUGUCCCUGAGCUUGCUGACGUCCACCUCGGCCUCUACUGCCCUGAUUACCUCGUCCCUGAGGAUUACGCCCCUAGCCUGGCUGACUAGGCUGCCUGGAUGAUCCUGCCCCACCAGUAGCAACUUCCCCCUGACGGGGCUGGCCUCCCUGAUGCCAUUGCGAUCCACCAACUGGCAUAGAGGAAUAAGAUGAAUAACCUCCAAAAUCCUGAGAAUACCCAGCCUGAGAAUGAGGCUCCUGGGAAUACUGAUAAGGUCCGGGAGCAUACGGAGCAGCAUCCCCCUGAUAGUGGUAGGCACCACCACGACUCGGCUGGCCAUAACCGCCUGAUCCAAAACUCUGCUGAACUGGUGCUGGAGGUGGCAUAGUGGUCUGUUGCGGUCUCUGCUGACCCUGGGGGCACUGAGAAGCCCGAUGUCCCAUCUGCCCACACGUAAAACAAGCACCAGUACCUCUCCUACACUCACCAUGGUGACGGAAGUUACAACGGCGGCACCAUGGAGCGCCAGAUCCACCAGCACCACCUGAAUCCCUCUGACCCUGAAACCUGGGUCCACCAGAAAAUCUUCCACCACCUCUCAUCGGGCCAGUAAAACUAUAUCCCCCACUAGAAGAACUCGAACUCGCUCCACUCUUCUUAAAAUUCUGUGUCUGCCAAGGUCCCGGAAUGGAGAUACCCUUACCUUUAUCAUUCUUCUUCUGACCCUCAUUCUUGUCCUCAUCAUCCUCACUGUCAGGAAGAUUAUCAGAGUCCUCCAUCCUAACCAAAAUCUCGAAAUACUCAUGAUAAUCAGCGCAAGGAAGUGCAUUGGCAAAGGUACGCCACUUCUUCUUAGAUCCCAACUUGAAACGUCGAAGCAUCUCUCCCUGAUUACCAGCUAUAUCAGGGUCAUAACGAGACAAAUCAGUAAACCUUCUAUAAUAUUCAUGUGCCGACAUAUUUCUCUAUUUCAACCUGGUGAAUUCCUGUUUCUUACGAUCAAUAUACUCAGGAGGGACGAAUCUCUUCAUAAAAUUCUCUUUGAACACUUUCCAGUCGGCUGCCGUCUCAGGUGACAUGUACCUAGUCUGAUUCAUCCACCAUGCUGCUGGUUCAUGACCCAAAAACCAAGUGGUGGUCUCCACCCACCUAUUAGCAGGGAGAUUCCCCUGACUCUGCAUCACCUGGAAAGUCUUCUCAAUAUGAUCUAGCCGUUUCUCUGCCCCCUCAUGACUUUCAUUACCCAUAAACCGAUCUAACUUCAAGUUGUACAUGGUCUCCAGAGGUGUCCUCGGAGGAGGGGGAGGACGAAUCACAUUCUGUAAAGCCUGGGCCAUCGCUUCCCCUAGCUGAGUAAUAUCCAGGAAAUUAGGUUCAGAAGUACGGCGGGACUCCCUACGCUCCCUACGAGGCGGCAUGAUUCUGACAGAAAACAUCAAAAGAUCGUUAAGACAUUAACAAAUUUACAGGACUGCAACCUAAGCUCUGAUACCAAACUGACACACCCCGAUCCGGAGGAUCCAGGUGUGCUGGCCGUCACGUGGGCGUGACGUAACCAUCGGCGCGACACGGAAGCAAAAUAACAAUAUAACUCAGCAGAAAUUCAAACCAAACUCAAACAUAACCACCUACGAACAUAACCGGACGAGUUAUCAGGUAAACACAUAAGUUCAGAGCAUAGGUUAACUGCAGUCAAGUAGGUCUAAAAUAAAAUACAUCACCCUCAGGUGAGUCCUACAUGUCGAAGGUCUGUCAGAAAGCCGGAAAAGACCUCGAGAGCCACCAACCGCUAAUUUAGAACCUGGAGGGGCGCAAAACAAAAUGAGUGGGUCAGUAAAACCAAAGAUUUUCCAAAACAUUUCAAUUAAAACAUUUCUAACCCCUCACCGUAAAACCUGUAUACAUUCUCCAGAAAAAGUAGAUAUAUAUAUAAAACCAUAUGAAGUCUCAAAAACUUAAAUCCCAAAUCUUUAACAUUUUUCAAGGAAACAUGCCAUGCAAUAAAUCAAAAUAUAAAUCAGGUGAAAUAAGGAAUCAAUCGGAGACCCUGCAGUUGGUCCUAUACGAUUAAUUCAACAGCUCAAUAUCCCACUAAGCUGGAGCCACCACAGUGACCUAUACGGCCCUACUCUGCACAUCACUCGGAACUACGUGAGGUAGUCUAUACGAUGAAAGGUGUAAAAAUACGCUCUAGUGCUUCUCUCAUCAUAUCAUCAGCGCGCAUAUCUAAGGUCACCCACCAGUCAGAACCCCUCUAAUGGUCUGUGCGACUGGCAUGUCGGAACCCUCACAUGGUCUGUACGACAUCCACCUACUUGGAUCCAAGGCGAGCGUGCGGUGUGGUGAAUAAAAUAAGCACUAACACCUAGGGUGCAGGUUAUGAGCUUGAAACAUCUUAUCAACAAUCAAUUAAAUGAAUAAUGAACUUACCUGACUUACCUGUGCCUCCACAGCACCAUGCAACAUGUAUGCAUCAUAUAUCAAUCAUAUAACUCAUAUGAAAUUCACAUUUUCCAAAUAAUUCUAUGCAUGGCAUUUUCAAAACAUAAUUUCGUAUAAAUUCAUCUUCUGGGAAAAAUUAAUAGUAUAAAGGUAAUACGAAAACAAAACUGCCCACUCACUGAUAAGUCGACGGGUCGUAACCCCCGUGGCGUCCCUGGAUGCGGUCGUCCUCGGGAUACGUCUCACCUAUAUGCGAAAUAACUAUAAAAACGUUAAUUUUAAACACAUCACCAAUAUUUCGAAAUAAUUUCUCAUACGAUGCUCAAUUUGGGUAUAUGAAUAUACCACAUCGACCUACUCGACGUCACGAGCGUCGAGAAAUUUUUAGAAACUGAUUUGGACUCCCCACGCGCCCUCACGCGCCGGCUAGAGCUCGGCUCUACGCGCAGGCCACGCGCAGCCACGCGCGGCACGUGUCAUCGUCUUCCCCAGGGUUUGCCGGACUGGUUUUUCCGGCGACCCAAUUCCGGCCAAACUUUAAACCUCUUGUUCUCCUUCGUUUUUCACCCAUUUUCUUCGUAUUUUAUACCAAAUUGAAGCCCUAAGAGUGUACUAUCACGUUGGACUAGUUUUAGGGUCUAAAAAUCAAGAAAUCUCACCGAGCAAAAUCCAAGAAUUCGGCCAACUUUGAAACCCACGAUCCCGACGUCCAAAUCCUUCAAACGAACGUCCCCGAGCUUCCUUAGGACCUCACUAAGCUUGCUAUAAGCUUGAAUUCCCCUGAAACACAACAUUUUACGUUCGCAUGAACAGUACCCAAAAAUGGAGGUUUCGGAUUCCACGUGAAAUCGAAGGUCUCACUUCCUAAAACUAGCACCAAUGAACUCAGGACGUCAAAAGGAUGAAGAUACAUACCUUAUUUGCCUCGAUCCGUCAAGUUUUGAAGGGUUUUGGUGGUGGUCCGUACGUGGAGGGUGAGGGAAAGAGAGAGAUCGUGAGGGAGAGAGACAGAGAGUGCUACGGGAGGGAGAGAAGACAGGGAGUGCGUGUGUGUGUGAUUGUGUGGUCCAACACAAUCCUCACCAUCCAUCCAAAUCCCUAACCAAAAAAAUUCCAAUUCCAAUAGUUUAAUCCCAAAACUUACAAAAUUAAUUCAGAUAAUGUCACACACACACGUACCCAAAUGGCCGUCAAGGGUAAUUACGUCAAUUCACGCCCCCGAUAUAGAAAUCCCGGGACGGGCUGUGACAAAAGUCUUUAUCAUUAAUAUAUUUACUUAAUAUAAGUUGUAAAUUAUGAUCUAUCAAGUUUACUCUAAGAUUACAUCCUUUAAAACCAUCUUUAGUGGACCAUAAGUGCAACCAAUUCGACAUUGAUAACCUUUUCGUUUUGUAAAGCAAUGAAAGAUUCAUCAUCGAAUCGGAAUCUUGUUCACAAUGAAAUGUUGGGGUCAGGGUUUGUUCACAAUUGAAACGGUAAUAAGGUCAUGUCGGGUCAAGGGAAACCCGCAGUGAUACCAACACAGCAGAGUCAAGUAAGCGGCCAACUACUAAUUACAAAUAAAACUUUCUCAACUUAAUUACAUGCACAGUCCAACAUAUGUUGAAUUCUAUCCAAAAAAAUUAUGAUGCAAAAAGUGAAGUCAUUCAAUACACGUAAUUUAACUGCUUUGAUUGGCUAGCAAUAAUAUGAUUCAAUCAGUUGUUCAUUAAAUAUUAUUUUCUCUAUUCUAAAUGUAAAUUCAACUGCUUUGAUUGGUUUGUGAGGGGUUUUUUCUAGCAAGAUCUAAGAUUAUUUAUUUACUUCAAAUAUUUGACUUUCCGUUUGUCAAUUCACGCAUAUAAAUACGUUUACAAUAUGUAAAUCACUCGAAAUACGCCGUGAUUCAAAAAAUAUCUUCUGCACGCUCGUGAGCGUGUGCAUGAAGGCUAGUAAAAAUAAAAGACAACAUAUUUUCCAAGAAAAAUUUAACCCUUUGAAUUUCCAAAUUUCUCCUUGAGAAUGAUCAUAAUCUUUGACAAAUCAUAGGGAAAUUUGAUCAAGAAAACGUCCCAAUGAAUUGUAAGAGGAGCCACCAACCAUCAGGGCUUUCUUGCUCUUCUCACUCAUGUCCUUCACCCUCUUCCUCACAUCACUAUCCUUCUCCAUCAACUCCUUUAUCCCUCGCUCUAGUUCAUGUGCCUUCACAACAUUUGGGUACUCACCGUACAAGUCCCUCCUAUACUCCAUAUUAACUUCCACCGCCAAUCCUAAUUCCCUCACCAACUCAAAUGCAUUUAGUUGUUGCUCCGCGUACACCGGCCAAGCUGCGACCGGCACGCCAAACCAUAGGCUCUCCAACGUGGAAUUCCACCCGCAAUGGGACACGAACCCUCCGACGGCCGGGUGGGCUAGGAUCGCCACUUGCGGAGCCCAACCUAUGACCUUCCCAAUCCCAGCUGUCCGAUCGAGGAAUCCUUCAGGUAGGACUGCCUUAGGAUCCGAAUAGUCACUAGGGGAAGCGAUAAUCCCCUUUGGUGGGGGCUGGCGCAGCGACCACAAGAAGCGAUGCCCGCUCUGCUCCAGCCCCGAUGCUAUCUCCCUCACCUGGUCCUCACCAAAGCUUCCCAUGCUCCCAAAGCACAGGAACACCACAGAUGAAUCGGGCUGCUCAUCUAGCCACUCCAAUAUAUCCGACUUCUGCUGAGCCUGCUUCGAACCCACCUCGGUUUCACUGAUCUUUAGGUUCAGAAUAGGUCCCACAGGGUACACAGGUGGGGUCUUACCAUCAGAAAGUGAAUCAAGGGCGUGUGAUUCCAACUCAACGAACGUAUUUAUCAGAAUACCCUUGAGUUCUCUAAACCUGUUGGCAUAGCCAAGGAAAGCUUUCGCACCAUCCUUGUCCAAAAGGACGCUUGGCAAAACUCCAGCCGGAACCGAGUCGACAAAAGUUGGCAGUGUCAACUCAGCAUCCGAGCCCUUGAACUCGCUUACGUGCUUGCCAUACACGUCGCGAAUCGUUUGGAUAUUAAGUACCAGCCCGAGAAACCCGGCCGGCGAAGUGAAGAACAUGUACGUAGGAACUCCGAAAUCAUUGGCCACGUCGACCAUUGUCGUGCAAACCAUGUCGAUGACAAACCCGGCAACCCGAGUCGACUCGGACUCUGACUCGGCGAGUUUGGAGACAGCAUCUUUGACGUAGGGUUUGUGGCUCUCGACGAAUUUGCUGCGGAAGGCGUUGGGACUUUUGCGCGUGUCGAUGUCGGAGGCGGCCUGUGGGAGGGUGAUGAAGUUGACACGUGACAACACGGGAGAGGAUUCGAGGGAGGAUAUGUAGGCCUCUGUACCCUUGGAUUCGAAGGGGAGCUUCAUGAUGAGGACUGUGAUGAAGAGUUUCUCGUCUCGAGAGACAAGGAGCUUUGCCAUCUCCACGGCGGAGAUGAGGUGGCCGGUGCCGGCAUAGGGGAUGAAGACGAGUUUCAUUGGUUGCUUCAUUUGGAAAUUUAUUAGGAGUUUGAUAGCUUUGGAGGAAAUGAAAAUUUAAUUAGCUGAUUGAUGUACAAGCUUCUUUUCUUUUAGAUGUGUGUCUGUGUAUGUAUAUACUAUAUAUAUACACAGAUAAAUAUAUACUCACUCUCACACACACACACACAUUAUGGAUGUAAAUGAUGGAGGUGAUGAUCUCAUGCCUUUGCUGGCAUUGGUUAAAUUGUUUAGUUAAUUCGCAGGAUAUUUAUAACAAAGACUUGGAAACCAAGAAAAGGACCUUUGGGGUUCAGAGAAAGUUUCAUGCAUGCCUCUUGGCCACAAAUUACGGAAGAGAAAUUGGAGUAGUGAUCACGGGAAUAGAUAAGUUGUGUGAAUAUUCGAGAAAAAUUAUUAAUAAAAUAAUACGAUAAAUUCUGUAAAUGUUGGAUAGAACCAAGGAACAAAAUGCCGCCGAUAUUAUCGGUUUUUCACAAUACCAAUAUUUUAAUAGGUAUCCAACGGGUUUUCGUCAAAAUAUCGCGAUAUUAUUGAUAAUAUCGAUAAUAUCGCGAUAUUUCCGAAACUAUCGCGAUAUUUUGGAACUGUGCUACUCGGAGAAGAACUGGAGAAGAACGCCGGAGCUUCUACAGCUUCGGCCGACUGUAAAAGAGCACCCUAGACACCGAUCUAGGUAUCAAAAUGAAAUAGAAGACGAGAUGAAUGUUUUUAUAAAUUCUGUUUGCCGUGAAACAGUCGGAGGUGUUUAGAAAGUUCGUCAACACCCACGACCUCGCCGGAGAUGGGUGUGCCUAUUCCCGAGCCGAUUUCGUCCCAAAAACCUUGCAAAAACACAAUUUUGAACUUAAAUUUCACAUAUAAGCUUCAACUAGAACAGAAAGAGGCAAACCCGAAGCUUACCUAACCGGAGAAAUUCAAGAACCUCGCCGAAGUUCCUACGUUCGCCGAGUUGCAGAGACGAGAAGGAGAGGGAGAAAGACAAGGUUGCUAAUGAUGAUGGGUGUCUUCCUGAAGCAGGUGCGAUGGUGUGCGUGUGUGUAUGUGGGUCUCGGACCCUCGGUGCAGAGAGAAAAGAGAGAGACAGUGCCGACGAGGGAGGAGCAGAAGGCGAUGUGGGAGAAGGAUCGAGAGACCUUGGGUCUUUGUGCAUGUGUGUGGGAGAAGGAUCGAGAGACCUUGGGUCUCUGUGCAUGUGUGUAGGAAAUCUGUGUGUGUGUGUGGGAGAAUGGAGAAGGGAGAUCAGAGAAGAGAGAAGGAUGGAGAGAGAGAGACUGUGUGCAUGUGUUGUGUUGUGUUGUGUGCGUGUGUUGUGUUAUGUGCGUGUGUGGUGGCGUGUCGGUGUGUGUGUGUGGUUGGGUCAUCUGACUCACACUCACCUGACAACUUUUACAAUCACUUUUUACAAUUUCAGACCAUGGACAAAAAUAAUAGUGCUUUCAUAAUGAAACUGUGUGCCAUUGUGAGUUUGUGAUAUUCUUUCACAUUCAAAACCGUGUGCCACUGUGAGUCUGUGAUAUUCUUUCACAUUCUCAGAGGUGGAGUAUCAGAGCCAUUCAGAGCAUUUUCGUUUCUUCUUCUUCCCUUACCCCUUUCAAAGUCAUUCCAGAUCCAUUCCAGAGCUUGAACACAAAGGUUCCAUAUUUAAAGUAAGUUUACAAACUUAUAUUUAUAUUAUUGUAAUUUAUACAACAACAAAAAAAUUUGUAUGGACUCGUAUGUUAAUUUUUUUAAGUAAUUAAGUAAUGUUGUAUAAUUAUUCCCUAGGAUAAUUUUAAUAUGUUUAAUGUUAUUUAUUAUUUUAUUAAUAUUAGGUUUGAUUAUCAAAUUGGAUUAUUAUUCAUUAAUAUUAGGUUUUUUAGUUAUCAAAUUGGAUUAUUAUUCAUUAAAUUGGAUUAUUAUCAAUCUUCAAAUGAUUUUGCUUAUGGACAAGGUCAACCAAUCUCGGAUCCAUAUGGGUGACAUGUUAACAAUUACAUGCAAAACUAUUUUGGGGAUUUAUCAUUUGAUAACUACUAUUCACAAUACACUCACUCUACACAUAGAGAUGAUGAAGAUAGUGAAAAAUUUGAACCUCAUAGGAACUCUAUGUGGUACUAAGUCACUCAUGUAUCUUACCAUGCAAUGUAUAAAGUAUAAAAUAUUGUACUAAUUAAUUAUAUAUAAAUGAUUAUGGUGUGUUUAAACUUCUUUCAUUAAUUACUACAUAUUUUCUACACUCACAAUGUUUGCCAGCUCGCUAUAUAAUCAACUUGAUAAUGUUAAAUUCAUCAUGCAAUGCAUUUCCUUCCAAUUUUUUUUGAUAAACUAAUAGAUAAUUGACUAAAUAAACAUCCUGCAAAGUUUCAAUAAAAAUUUCCAAGUUUUUCUUACAAUUUCCGUGGUUUCCAUAUUAUUUUUAUCGAUAUCGAUAUUAUCCCGAUAUUUCCAUCGAUAUUUCUGUGUUUUCGGACUACCGAUAUUUCCGAUAUCAUCGAUAUUUAAUACCUUGGAUAGAACGGGAGAGUUCUUUGUUUUGAAAUCCAACUACAUAAUAUAUAUUUUAAGACUAUCCAAAUUAAAAAUAAAAACUCAAAAAUAAAUCGGAUAGAACGGGAGAGUUCUUUGUUUUGAAAUCCAACUACAUAAUAUAUAUUUUAAGACUAUCCAAAUUAAAAAUAAAAACUCAAAAAUAAAUCGACGACUUGUAGUAGGACUUAUAUAAUAGAGGUGUACCCUAAUAAUUACUUUUAUUUAUUUUUUUAUGAACCAACGUUAUUAUCUACAUUAAAGGGGAGAGAGAGUAGGCUUAAAGUUCACAAUAGACUAUCAAUAUUAUAGUUCAAAUUUAUCUUUAGCAAGAAUCGAAUCUAAAAACUAUCACUUAUAAAUAAAAAAGAAUAUCACUAAACCGUAGUACGAAGUGAUUAAUAAUCAUUUUUUAAUAGUUACAGAAAACAUAAUAUUUCUAACAUUACUCGUCAAUCGAACGGACUUAAGUUGAAUUCAUUUUUAGGCAACUUUUUUCUUUUUAAUAUGCUUUAUUUCUCCAUCCUCACUUCCACGAGCUUAUUCUUCUUCGUUCAAUAUUUUUCUUAUAUACAUUUCCAAUAUUUUAAAUGGAAUUAAUAAAGAAAGACGCAAUGACCUGAGCUGUAAAAGAACAAAUUUGCUUUUUGACCUGGGGGAGUCGUAGCCGACAAGAAUACUGCAGUCUGAAGAAAAAGACAGAUUCCGAAAGCUGACCCGGCAUGCACCUUCCACCUCGUAAUCUAUUUCUUUUUCUUCUUUCUUUAUUUGAACUAUUAUGAUUUAAUCACGUUAAUAUUUAAUAUUAAUUUUUUUAUAAAUAUAAUAAGAUAAAAAAAUAAUAUGACGUUAAUAUUUAAUAUUAAUUUUUUUAUAAAUAUAAUAAAACAAAAAAUAAUAUGUAUGAGAAGAAGAGGAAAAAAGAUAAGAAUAGAAGGAAAGUAGUAAUUAUAUAGACAUAUUGAGGAAACAACGGAGCAUGCAUAUUUAUGACUCCCUUGCCACGUGGUAUCUUACUAUGUUAGUGAUUUCCGCACUCCCUGUUUUUUAAAUUUACACUCUUUCGUUUGGAUUUUUCUUUUAUUUCCUACAGAAGGAGGUCUGAAAGAGGUGUGGAAAUUGCUCCCGAUAAUGUGCACGUCGAUUAAAAUGGAAAUUAAAAACUGCUCAUUGGACUUUGCAUACUAAGAAAUCAUUGGACAAAGAAAUCAUUGGACUUUUGAUUUGUUAUUAUGCUGCUGCACUAAUUAGUCACAGGAAGAUCUGAUCAAUGAAACGGUCCAAUGAUGAGUGUGAGGAACCACCAUCCAUCAACGCUCUCCUGCUCUUGUCACUCAUCUCCUUCACCUUCUUCCUCUGCUCACUCUCAACCUCCAUCACCUCCCUUAUCCCUCUCUCUAUCUCCUCCGCCCUCACCACCACCUCCCCUUCCCUCCUGUAAUCCAUCUUAAUCUCCACCGCCAGUCCCAACUCCCUCACCAGCUCAAACGCAUUCAACUGCUGCUCCACGUACAUUGGCCAAGCCGCAACUGGCACCCCGUACCAGAGACUCUCUAGGGUUGAAUUCCACCCCCAAUGGGACACGAACCCACCCACCGAUGGAUGGCCCAAGACCGCAACUUGCGGGGCCCAUCCUAUGACCUUCCCUGUCCCGGCCGUGCGGUCGAGGAACCCUUGGGGCAGGACUCCGCUGGGAUCAGCAUAAUCACUGGCGAAUGGAAGCUCCCCCUUUGGCGGGGGCUGGCGUAGGGACCACAAGAAUCGGAGGCCGCAGUGCUCAAGCGCGGCGGCUAUCUCCUUCACUUGGUCCCCACCAAAGCAUCCCAUGCUCCCAAAGCACAGGAACACCACCGACAAAGGAGGUUGAUCAUCAAGCCACUCCAGAAUUUCCUUCUUUUUGGCCAGCUCCGAGCCUUCAGGGUCACUCUUCAAGUUCAGUAUGGGCCCUACAGGGUACAGCGACGGGGUUUUGCAGUCGGUAAGAGCUCCGCGGCCGUGGGAUUCUAGCUCCAUGAAGGUGUUUACCAAAAUCCCCUUGGUUUCUCUGAACCUUCUGGCAUGGUUGAUGAACUCUGUGGCGCUAUCCUUGUCCAGAUACAUGCCAGGCAAGACUCUAGCAGGCAUUGGGUUGACAAGACACGGCAAAACCAAAUCAGGAUCCGAUUCCUUCAGCUCAGUGCAGUCCUUGUUCUGCUCGUCAUGAAGGGUUUGGAGGUGGAGCACAAGCCCGAGAAAGCCUGCGCCGGACGUGAAGAAGACGUAGGUAGGAACCCCAAACUCAUUGGCCACGUCUAUCAUGGUGGUGCAGAACAUGUCGAUGACAAACCCGACUAGACUGGGCUUGCAAUCAGACUGAAGGGCCUCACUAGUGAGCUUCGCGACUGCAUCUCUGACGUGUUGUUUGUGAUUUUCAACGAAUAGCUUCAGGAAGAGGCGGGUCUUAAUACCCUUCGUCUCUACGGCUUCCUCCGGGAGGUUGAUGAACCUGAUACGUUCGGCGUCGUCAGCACCCUUGAGCUUCAACUUGGACUCCAAGGGCAGCUUCAUGGUGAGCACUGUGAUGAAAAGCCGGUCGUCUCGAACAACUAAGAGCUUUGCGAUCUCGAACGAGGACGCAAGAUGGCCAAUACCUAUGGCAGGAAUGAACACUAGCUCUCUCUCUCUCUCUCUCUAUAUAUAUAUAUUACACGUAAGUAUGUAUGUGUAUACAUAUCGAAGCAUGCACAUGGAUUGUGGUGUUUUAUAUAACAAAUAUAAACCACUCACAAUUCUUGGAGCUUUCCCUUGGCCCAACCACGAAAGGACGUACAAAGCUUUCAUGUUAUCUUUUUAGUAACGACAGUGCCGGUGACCUUUUGAGGUGAUAAAUCCUGCAUUGCCACACACAUAACGAUGUUUAUAUGUAUAUGGUGUACGUAAUGAAAUCGGUUUCUUCCGUAAGGGAAAAAGGAGAAGCACCAAAGUAUAUUUAAGUAGAAAGUUGGAAAGGAAAAUCUCCAUACGGCUCAACAAAGUUAAAAUAAGCAAAAGCAUUUUUUUAAGUCUUGGCAGCAACGAAAACUUAGUAGAAGAUACUACAAUCAGAUUAUUGUAUAUAAAUGAACCUUUUGUCUGACAAGAAUAUGGAUCGUAAUAAAAAGUUAAAAAGAAAGAUAGGAUCAUAAAAUAAUCAUGAAAAUUAGAGCUUUUACGUGUUGUAUCAGGGAACCCAACGAGAUUCGGAAAAGAAAGUGGAACAGAAUAAACAGAGAAGAAUACCUAGUGAAAGGACUUCCUCCCAUUUCUGCACAGAGGAAAAUGUCCGUCUGCAGCUACAGCACUAGAACUUCCCUUCAAUGGGCAGGGCACAACGGAGCUGUCUGUUUUAGUUUUUGAUGGAGAUUUCCGCGGCCAGAUGCGGUUUCCUCAUGUGCCCUGUAACAUGACCAAAUUACAGAUUUUCUUUCACAGAAUUAUAACCAAUUUAACCUUCAAAAGAACGAAAAGUUUAAUAUUUUCCUCAUUCAUGACUGUAUGUGACUCAGUAAACGUGAGAGCGUAUAUACGUAGUUCACUUUAACAAUAUACAUAUCAGGAAAGUAUAAGACUGCAAGGUAACAUAUGAUAUACUGGCCUUAUGACUCUCUAUCUUAUCCACUGCAGAGAACACAUUACUGAACUCCAUAGCAAACAUAUGAUGGCCUUGAUGGGAAAUAUAUCCCAUGCUGCAAAUUCACAUUUAUAUACUUACUACCAGUUUAGCAAGCAUCCUUCCUAAAUUAUUAUUGCCCAACCAAUUCUAAAAAUUAUUAUUGCCUGCUUCACAACUUCCAUAUAGAAUCCAGAUGGCAUAUUCCAUAUUUGGGUUGUUGUACGAAAGCGACAGAUAUGAGAUCAAUACAUAAGCAAGGCAAAGUUUGAUAAAUACUGAAAUCCAAAUAACCCAAGGAUUUAUACUAUAGUUGAGAAUAAGCCUACGUUUAGUUUGGAGACGGCAAGGAAAUUCCAGUAAUAAGAAAGGGGAUUACAAAAGUGUUUUACAUCACAAACCCAAAUCCCACAUGCACCCAAGCUUACAUAAUGUGGACCCAAAAGUAAAGGAACUAUGUCCUACAUCAUUACAUAUUCAUCAGUGUUUUGCCUCUGCCAAUACAAAGCUUCCAUACACUGAUGAACAACACAAGUUACUUUGGGUGUAGUACCAAUAAGUAGACUCUUAUUCAACCACUUCUUAGCUGCUCUCGGUGCACAAUUAAAUGCAUAUAAACUAGUGUGUUAGAGAAGUCAAAUAAAAGAAAAUCAGUGUACCUUAGGAAGUCAUAUUGAAUGGGCAGAUAGUAGAUACCAGCCUUACAAACAUAGGUGACGUGAGUGAUUUAAAGCUAAGUAACAAAUUCAACCAUAGCCAAUUAGUCAGCAAAGCCACAUAAAUAUUGCUUAUAAUAGCCUUCAUGGGGAGACACAGCACAAAACAUUAAGAUUUUCAAGAGUUCUAAGUAGAUCAACCAAUAUAAUACGACAAUACGAGUCACCCACGAGUAAGCCAAAUGGAAGAAAAUAAACUACUCGUGCAGGGUAUUCCAUGAAGAUCAAAGUAUCAUUAACUAAGCAUGGCCAUGCGCAACACUAUAUACAGAAAUCAUGCUUUUUUAACUGACCUGAAUAUAUGUAUGAGGCGUCUUUGAGAUGGCAGCUUAUUAACUUGCUAUGGCUCAACCGCUAGUGUCCAAAGUUCACUCUCAAAGACCAUGGGGACAGAUUUAAGCGCCAUCUAAAAAGAAUAUAACUUAGACAACUGCUGACCCGCACCAAAAGCUAAAUUAGCAAGAAAGUAGAUUCCAGCUGCAGAUACAAACAUCACGAUACAUCACAUAAACCUAAGAUGAAGCUAAACUCAAUAAAAAGACAUGCCCACUGACUUGCCAGAAACCAGCCAGUCUAGUUUUAGGAAAAUUCCCCCUUUUAAUCCAGUCCUUAACUAUGUAUUUUUAGGAAUCUUGAGAAAAUGCAUAUCUUAGACGAUUAAAAUUGGAUCGACAAUCACAAACGAUAAACUUACAUGAAGGGCAGUUUUCCAUGGAUAGAUAGUUCUUGUUAUGAUCCUGCAAAGGAGUUGCGGAUGCUGCAAUGCGAGCAUCGAAUGGUGGAUAAUUUGCAUGCAGACUUGUCAAAAUAGUUUACCACAUUGAAUGACACCACAAGCUGAAAAGAUCUUCUUUCAAGAAUUCUUCAUCAGUCAUAAGGUUCCAAGAUUGCAUCGAAGGAAGAAUUGAGAGAAGGCCUAUAACCAGUAUCUUUCAUCUUCACAGUCAAUUCCUCCAAUAUAUCAUAUAUCUCAUCACCCUGAGGAUGGUUUUGGUUCCUAGAUACGAAACAGUUCAAAAAACCGCUAAUAUCAAUCCAACUACAUCCAGUCUCCUUCCUCAAACCUUUUUCCCUCAUUUGUUUCCUCACAUUAUCCACGUUUUCCCACUUGCCUUCCUCGGCAUACAUAUUUGAGAGUAAAACAUGGUAGCCCCUUUUGCCAUUUGCUGCCUCUAGUUCAAGCAAUUUCCCAGCAACAAUCUUUCCCAAUUCAAAAUGUUUAUGAAUUCUGCACGCCCCAAGAAGUGAGCCCCAAAUUUCCAUCGCAUCACCCUCUUCGCCCAACCCUUUGACAAACUCGUAGGCUCAACCAUUCUCCCAACCCUCCCUAACAUGUCUGCUAUACAGCAAUAGUGUGCCGUUAGUGGUUUAAUAUUGUAUUCCCUUUUCAUUGAAUCAUAUAUCAAAAGACCUUCGUUAACCAAACCAGCAUAACUGCAGGCAGACAAGACUGCAACAAAGGUUAUGGCAUCAGGUGCAAUGCCAGAUUUCUGCAUUGAGUGAAACAAAGAGAGAGCUCUCUCACCCACUCCAUGCUGACCGUAGCCCAGUAUCAUUGUGGUAUAUGUGACAGAGUUCUUCUCAUGGGAUCCAGCGAAAACAUUUUCAGCAUAAGUGACUGCACCACAUUUGGAAUACAUGUCAAUUAGAGCAGAUCCCACGAAGACGUUUUGGGCAAGGUAGUGGCGGAUAGAGAACCCAUGGAGUUGCUUACCCAUAUCUAUGUUUCCCACUAUAUUACAAGCUGGGAGAACCGAUGCUAAGGUCACAGCAUUUGGGAUUAGAUUUUGCUCAAGCAUCUGCCUAAAGACAAAGAAAGCUUCUUCAGAUAGCCCAUUCUGUGUGUACCCAGCAAUCAUAGAAUUCCAAGUAGCCUGAUCUCUAUCACGGCUGUAGUCUUUUUUGAAAACCCGUUCUGCGAUCCUUACUGAGCCAGAUUUAGCAUACAUAUCGAUGAGAUAACUGUCCAUCCCCUCAAAUUGUAUGUCAUGCCUAAUAAGAUAAGCAUGAGUCUGCUUUCCAAUAUCUGGAUUUCUAAGAUUUGAUGAAGCCGAAAGUAGAGCAGUUACAGUUACCGAAUCAAUCAUGAACCUUUGCUUUUGCAUCUCAUAAACAAGCAUCAAAGCUUCAUCAUCUAAACCAUUUUGCACGAAUGCAGAAAUCAUAGUAUUCCAUGAAACAACAUCCCUCUCAGGCAUCUUAUGAAAAAUUUUGAAUGACAUGUCAACAGAAUUGCACCUUGAAUACAUUACGAUAGUCGCAUUGAGUAAAAUAACGGGCAUCGAUCUCAAAUGCUUGAUGAUAAAAGCAUGCAGCUGUCCAGCUAAUUCCAACUGUUGCAUCUGUGAACAUGCAGUUAAAACUGAUAGGAAAGUCACCUCAUCAAGAAUAGCCACUUCUGAGUUUACAGCUUGAAAGAAGAGGUCGAUCGCUUCAAUAGGACGGUUGUUUUGAACAUAUGCACCGAUCAUAGUGUUCCAAAUCUCUGUAUUUCUCUCGGAACAAUGGUCAAAAAUCUUCCUAGCAUAUUCAAGCUCGGCAUACAUAAAUAUUGCCGAGCUCACAACAAACAAGUCAGUCACGUAUUCCCCACCCAACCUAAGAAGCAUACUGUAUAGUCUCCCAUAGCGGAAAGUGCAGGGAAAACAUUGACAAAACUGACAGCACUCGGUGUUAUUCUCAUUCCCAUCAUCAUCCUAAACUGCUUCACUGCUUCUGCAUAUCUUUCCGUCUUAACAUACCACGAAACCAGCGUAUUCCAAGCAACCACAUUCCUCUUGCGCAUUGUAUCAAACACUCUACGCACUAAAUCAUACUGUGAAUAAUCAAAGUCAUAAUAACAAGCAGAGUACAUAUUCAAAAGCGAAUUGCACACAAUCCUACUGGGGAUCGGAAGACACCGAAGAACAUGGCAAUGCAGGGCUUUACCCAUCUUGAAAUUACGCGUGUCGGUGCAGGCUUUGAGGGUAGAAGAGUAAGUGUAAGGGUCGGCCUUGGGCCGGGAGAGGCGGAUUUCAUCUGGGAGUAGAACAAGAGGGCUUCAUUGGCCAUGUUGCUGCAGAUGAAUCCAAUGAUGAUGGUGUUCCAGAGCACGGUGGAGGGGCCAGGCAAAGUGUCGAACAGUUGGCGGGCAAGGUGAGGAGGAGGGAUUCCUCCUGAAAAUGUUUUGCGGACGAUUCAUAAAAUUUCGUGCUAAUGAUCGAAACCAUUAAUGAUAUAAAUCAUUAUGGAAAAUAUCAUCUUUAUAAAAAAAAUUAAAAUGAUGGUAGUGAAGUCAAAUAACUGCAACAAAUAGAUAAAACAGCUCAUAAUACUUUUAAUAAUUCUGGCUAUAUAUAUUUACACAUUUUGAUGACAUAAUGAUUUCAUGUGAUGAUCUUUACACAACGACAUAUAAUAUGAACAAUUCUAACGACAAACACAAAAUUUUGAGUCCGUUACAACACAUUUUUAGGGGAUAUCCUUCUCAUCGUUUCAGUUGUAAAGUAUUAUUCUAAGCAUAUAUAUCAAUUGCAUGGCCUGUGGGAUGGGGGUGGUGUUUUAAUUCUUGGAUUUUUUUCAUGUGGAGGUGAUGAUGUCAUGCCUUUGCUGUCAUUUGCUAAUUUCUAAAACCCUAGCUAGUACAUGCUGUUGUCUGCAGUUAAGAUUUCGGAGUUUAUAACCAAUACAAAUGAAGAAGAAAAGUCACCAUAAUUUAUUACAAGUCGUAAGUAGAAGACUAUAUAGAGACCACAAAAAAACCACACAUAAGAUGAACGCGAUUUAAUUGAUGAAAUUGAGGUUCUAUCAUAAAAUCAAUUGGCAAUAUGAGGAGUAGCCCAAGAUCAUAUAAGCACAUAGCAAACCUUGUCCCUCACCAAUGUGGGACAACUCUCAACAUUAAUCACAUGCGUAGAGAAAGAGUGGGGCUAGCUGUGACUAUUUGUUUUGGCAGUGUAUAGUGUAUACUGGUUGAUGAAAUAGACAGUUUGUAUCGGUGAACUUAGGUCCCUCGUGAUUCCUUGGAUACCACACAACUACAAACACAAGACUUAUCUGCAUAUAUAUUCUCGCGCAUAGGAUCGAUGGAUUACAAGUUUACAACAAACACCAUGUAGAGCAGAAGAAUGUAGAUUUAUCUGCCCAAAAUAAAUUGAUUGAGUGUUAGUACAUGUCUAUGAAUAAGUUAGUGGUUGACAAUGCUCACAGCAUGUAAUGAAGAGUUGGUCAUCUGGAGCUUUCAUUAUUAUUAGUAAAAACUCUAUAUUGAAAAUGAUGUCAAAACAAAUUUUUAGGCAUGCAUUAGGUGCACAUACAAGCUGAAUUGAUCAGUAUUCAGUACAGGGCCAUUCUGAAAAUCUCGACAUCAGGAUUACUUGUUCACACAUUCGUAAGCAAGUUAGAUUUUCAAAGAAAAGAAAAUGUCACCACAAGAUUUUAAGAUUUGAUACGUUGAACUAUGUAUUAAUGGAAAACUUACAAUACAAACGUUGCAAAUUACAUAUCGUAAAAAUAAGCGAGGAGAAUAUAAAAGCCCCCCAACCCAAUUAAAUUUGAUCAAUAAAACGCCCUAAUGAAGAGUAAGAAGAACCACCAUCCACCAAGGCUUUCUUGCUCUUUUCACUCAUCUCCUUCACUCUUUUCCUUACAUCACUGUCAAGCUCCAUCACUCGCCUUAUCCCUCUUUCUAUGUCUUCUGCGCUCACCACCACGUCGCUGUCCUUCCUAUAAUCCAUCUUAAUCUCCACUGACAGUCCCAACUCCUUCACCAAUUGAAAGGCAUUCAGGUUUUGCUCCGCGUACAUUGGCCAUGCGGCAAUCGGCACGCCAUUCCAUAAGCUUUCCAACGUAGAAUUCCACCCGCAAUGUGAUACAAACGCUCCGGUUGCCGGAUGGCCUAGAAUGGCCGCUUGCGGGGCCCAACCAAUCACCUUCCCAACCGUAGCCGUCCGAUCAAGAAACCCUUCGGGCAAGACUGCCUUUGGAUCCUCGUAGUCGCUUGGCAUAGCUCUCUUGCCUUUAGGUGGGGGCCGGCGUAGGGACCACAAAAACCGAUGUCCGCUGUGCUCUAGCGCGCACGCUAUCUCAUUCACCUGGGCCUCACCGAAACUUCCCAUGCUUCCAAAACACAGGAACACCACCGAGAAAGGAGGCUGAUCAUCAAGCCACCUCAAGAUAUCCGAGACCUUAUCUUCAUCACUACUUUUGAGGUUCAAUAAGGGUCCCACCGGAUACACCGGUGGGAUUUUAUCACCAGAAUCAAGAUAAUGAAGAGCAGGCGAUUCUAGCUCCAUGAAUGUAUUAACCAAAAUACCCUUGGUUUGUUUAAACCUGUUGACGGAGUCGAGGAUUGUUUUGGUGCUCUCCUUGUCCAGAAACGAACCAGGCAAGACAGAGGCAGGGUAAGGGUUGAUGAAACUCGGGACGGCCAACUCAGCGGUUGAGCUCGUCAACUCAGUUAUAUCUAUUCCCCCCUCGUCACGAAGCGAUUGAAAAUGGAACAUAAGUGCGAGAGUCGAAGCGUUGGAGGUGAAGAACAGGUAGGAGGGAACCUUAAAUUCGUUGGCCACGUCCAUUAGGCUUGCGCAAAACAUGUCGAGCACGAACCCGGCAAGCCGAGGCUUCGACGUCGACUCAGACUGAUCUGACUCGGGGAGUAAGUUGAUAACGGCGUCUCUGACGUGAGAUGUGUGAUUUUCGACGAGCAUUCUUAAGAAGGACCCGGGAUUGGGGACAGUGUCUUGUUUGUCCGAUUGGGCUUCUGGGAG
rnacentral:lncRNA from 1 species